UCUUAAACUCUUAUUUCUGAUACAGGCUGCAUGAAAAAUGGGUUUGUUUUCUUUUGAAAUUUUAGGCACUUGAUUGCAUGAGGAUACUAAGCUAAAUAUGAGUUUCAUGUCAUUGAAGCCUCAUUCUGAUGUAGAAUUUUAAUCUUAAGUUCAAUCUUCAAAAGAUUCAGUUGGCCCUCUUAACUUGCAUUAUUAUUUCAUGUUCCCCCUAUGUAACUAGUUAGUUGAACAGAAAGGAGACAAAAUGUUUAAACAUUACUCUUUGCACGUGUGACUUAUAGUAUAUACUUGUCAGCAUGCAGAGCUUUUGUUCUUAAAAUUGGCUCACUCAUUUAAGAACAUUUUGAGUGAAUAAUUUCCGUUGUGCAGGUUAUUUAAACUUUUGAACGUUCUAGAGUUUGACAGCAGCAGAAAACGGAUGUCUGUAAUUGUGAGAGAUGAAGAGGGAAAACUUCUUCUACUCUGCAAAGGUGCUGACAGGUUAGUAUUUAUAGAUUAAAUCGAACUCUUGUGGGUACCAAUAACCCUUAUUUCCUUUUUAGUUUCACUACAAUAUCAUCCUAAUGCUUUAUCCUAUGCAGUGUCAUGUUUGAAAGGCUGGCCAAGGGUGGUCGUGACUUUGAAGAGGAUACUAGAGAGCACAUGAAUGAGUAUGCUGAUGCAGGCCUAAGGACCCUAGUCCUAGCAUAUCGUGAACUUUCAGAAAAUGAAUACGAAGUGUUUAAUGAGAAAAUGACUGAGGCAAAAAACUCAGUUAGUGCAGAUCGCGAAACCUUAAUUGACGAAGUUGCAGAAAUGAUUGAGAGGGAUCUAAUUCUCUUAGGGGCUACGGCUGUUGAGGACAAACUCCAAAAUGGGGUAGGGAUGAAGAUGCAAGUAUAAUCUAAUCUUUCUGUAAGAGGCACAGCAGGAGACUUAUGAUUUUUCUCUUAUUUCUACGUUACAGGUCCCUGACUGCAUUGACAAGCUUGCUCAAGCUGGGAUUAAGCUAUGGGUAUUGACUGGAGACAAGAUGGAGACAGCCAUCAAUAUUGGGUAUGCUUUCUGGUUUGCCUUCUUCUGUUUCUGCUUUAAAUAAAACCUACUUUAAUUAGCUUGCUUUGAUCUCUAACCUAAAUUUAUAAAUUUGCAGUUAUGCAUGUAGUUUGCUUAGACAAGGAAUGAAGCAGAUUAUAAUUAAUAUAGACACUCCAGAAAUCCAGUCAUUAGAGAAAACUGGAGAUAAGGAUGCCGUCAUCAAGGUAAAAUGACUUAAAUUCUUAAUUAUUUUUAUAAUUGUUCAGUUAGCUUUAUUGAAUCUAAAUCUUAGCUUUUUAGAGCUUCUCAGUUCUAUAUGAUAAUGACAUGUAUUUCUGUACAAUAUAAUGCUACAAUGCAUGUGAGUAUUAUAUUCUCUUGUGGUACUGUUUAUUUGAUAUGGUUUUUGUGCUUCAUGAGUGUCUCUGCAUGUGUAUUUUCUAUGUUUGUGCAUCCAAGGAUGUGUAUAUAAUAUUUGCAUUAUAUGUCAUUUUUUAUAGUUAUAAUACUUGUAUUAUUGUUGAUAGAAUGAUUUUUCUUUUAGGCGUCAAGAAAAAGUGUCAUGGAGCAGAUAGUUUCAGGAAAGGCUCAGGUGUCUGCAUUGAGUGCAAUAUCCGAGGCUUUUGCCUUAAUCAUUGAUGGGAAAUCACUCGCUUAUGCUCUAGAGGAUGAUAUGAAGAAUAGUUUUCUAGAGCUUGCUAUUGGUUGUGCAUCUGUAAUUUGCUGCCGCUCUUCACCAAAACAAAAGGCAUUGGUAUGUUUUCAUCUUUCUAGAGAUUUUACGAAGUCAAUUUAGAGUUGUCAUAUUUAGUCCUUGAUUCAAGUAACUAAUUAUCUAUUUUAAAUGACAAAACUGAAAUUCAUAGGUUACAAGACUGGUAAAACUAGGAACUGGUAAAACAACGUUAGCCAUCGGUGAUGGUGCUAAUGAUGUGGGAAUGCUUCAAGAAGCAGAUAUUGGAAUUGGAAUCAGUGGUGUGGAAGGAAUGCAGGUAUUUAAUUGAUUACUAUCUCAAAUUUGUUAUUGGCACGGUGAUUAAGAAAAUAUUCCAACUGUAGUGUUCUAAGUUUAAAGAAUUUAAAAUAAAUAGAUAUUAAUAUAUAGUUCUUUUAAUUUUCUGAAGGAUAUAAUCACCUCAGUUUCUGAGUUUUGUUAUUAUUGUCUAAUGCAGGCAGUUAUGUCAAGUGAUGUCGCAAUUGCUCAGUUCCGAUAUUUAGAGCGCUUGCUACUUGUUCAUGGACAUUGGUGUUACAGGAGAAUUUCUUCAAUGGUAAUACACUCGUUUGUUGCUUUAGUCACUAGUGAUUCAUUAAGUUAUUAAAACAUUUGAAGUUGAAAUUAUCAACUUGAUUUGCAUGACAAGGUUGGUUAUUCCUUCAAAGCCUAAUUACUUUUUAUUCUUGUGGUGCCAGAUAUGCUACUUUUUCUACAAGAAUAUUGCAUUUGGUUUCACAAUCUUCCUAUACGAGGCGUACACAUCGUUUUCAGCUCAACCUGCCUACAACGAUUGGUAUUUGACGCUCUUUAAUGUCUUCUUCUCAUCACUUCCAGUAAUUGCUAUGGGAGUUUUUGACCAGGACGUAUCUGCACGGUUUUGUCUCCAGGUAGGUGGUUUUCUAGUCUUUAUUCUUAGCAAUAGCUAGAUAUAGAUUGCUAGAGAUGGAUGUUGUAUUAACUGCUUCUAUUGUACGUUUUAUUUGUGGCAGUUUCCUCUGUUAUACCAAGAAGGAGUGCAGAAUGUUCUCUUCAGCUGGCGGCGCAUAGUGAGCUGGAUGUUUAACGGGUUUUACAGUGCCAUAAUCAUCUUUUUCUUCUGCUCGAGAGCAUUGGAGCAGCAGGCCUUCAAUGAUGAGGGUAAAACUGCUAGUAAAGACAUUUUAGGGGGAACAAUGUACACAUGCAUUGUGUGGGUUGUGAACCUGCAGAUGGCCCUUUCAAUUAGUUACUUCACCUUGAUACAACAUAUUGUCAUCUGGGGUACCAUUGCAUUCUGGUACGUGUUCCAAUUGGCGUAUGGUGCCUUGCCUGCUAGUUUUUCAACUGAUGCCUACAGAGUGUUCGUUGAAGCUCUUGCCCCAGCUCCUUCAUACUGGUUCAUUACACUUUUUGUCGUCAUUGCGACCCUCACUCCAUACUUCUUAUACUCUGCUAUUCAGAUGCGCUUCUUUCCCAUGUAUCACGAAAUGAUACAGUGGAUAAGACAUGAGGGGCUGUCCGAUGAUCCACUCUACUGUGAAAUGGUGCGCCAAAGAUCCAUCCGCCCAACAACUGUGGGCUUCACUGCUCGGCGUGCAGCAAGCCGAAGACAAUAAGAUUAUGGAUGAGGUUAUAAGUAUUUAUCAGCUGAAUGGUUGAUUCCUGUGGAUGCUCCAAAUCUGCCUGCAUUAUAUGUAAACAUCACUACACAGCUGGGGAGACGACCAUGUACAGAUUCAGUAUUUGCAUGGCAGAAUUUUACAGAGAGACAAUGCGAGCAUCCUGAUAUUGUAAAUCUUCAUUCUUUACGGUGAUCUUUGUUUUGUACCAUAAAUAAUUCCAUUUUUCGGGAGAUUUGUAACUAGUGCAGAUGUUAGAAUACUAGUUUAGAUUCUAGGUUUACAAAUAUUGCUACAGCUUCAGCUUCAUUUUUUUAUUUUUUUUCUCUGUUUAAUAAAAAUAUAUUCUUUUCUUUUUUUUUUCUUUUUUUUGUCAUUGAAUCUCUCAAGUUUUUUUUUUCAAGAUGAAAUUAUACCUUUUUUUUUUAGUAUUAUCAUAAUAACUGUUUAUAUAAAUAUAUAUCUCUCUUUUUAAUCUAUAUUUAUGGUUGAUUUUUCUAGUAAAUUGAUGUUUUAAAUAAAAUCAUAAUAUAUAUUAAAAAUCCUAUAAUAAGUGUAUGCAUGUGAUAAUUACAAGGUGUGUUUCAAAGCAAAGAAGCGAUAAAAAAAUUUAAAAAAAUUAUAAAAAUAAAAAUAAAAAUACACAUAAAUUGUUUAAGGAAAUGUUCUCAAAUAUAUUCAGUAACUUUGAAUACAAGGAUUACAAAUUAAUUCAACAAUACAAAUUGUCUAUCUACAAUAUGAGAAUAUUAAGGAAUUUAAACUCUAUAGGAUCCAAGUAUACUAGACUUGAGUCUCAUCCAAGUAGUGGGUUAGUCCUGUCUAGAUGUGCUCAUAGGUUGGAUUAGGUCGUGUUUGGGUCAAGUCUAAGCAUAAUAUUAACUUACUUUAUGCUUGUCUAAACUUGACCUGACUCAAAAUUUGAGUUUAAUUUUUUUUCAAACACAUCCAUAUUUGCAAAAGACUAAUCUCAGUCUAUUUUAAGCCUGCCCAUAUUAUUUUUAAUUUUUUAAAAAUAUUUAUAUUAUAUUAUUUUAAUUUUUUAUAUAGUAUCUUAAUAUUAUUUUAAUGUUUAUAUUAGAGUAGUAUUAUAUAUUUAGUAUAGGUUUAUUUUUUUAAUGUGUUCUAAAUUACAUAAUAUAUAAAAAUAAAAUAAUAUAAAGUAUUAUAAACUUAAAACGGGCUAAGAUAGACUUGAACUUGACUCAUAUUUUAAACGGGUUUAAUUUUUUUGUUCAAAUCUAUUUUUCGGGCUUAAUAUUUUUGAACAAAUCUAGUCCUGUUGGACCGAAUGACUCCAAGUGAAUAUGAAGGGUUUACAACGUGUGCAUCGAUAGUAGAUUCUUUUGUGUGACCCGUCAAACCACAUAUUUAAAACACAAAAUUUUAUUUAAAAAUAACAUACAAAAUAAAUAAUGAAACUUAUGGUUUUGACCUAAUUAAAAAUAACAUAUGAAAAAUUUACAAUAUAAUUAAAAUGAAAAAUUAGAAUAAAUUGUGAGUAAAAUAAAAUUUAAACACAUAAAUACAUCAUAUUAAUACUAACUCAGUUAAAGACUUAAAUAAUAAUAUUAAUAAAUACACAAUUGAUGAACAUAAUAAAGUGUGCAUAAUGAAAUUAAAAUAAAUAUAUAUAUAAUUAAAAUAAAACUUUAGUUGAACAGUAACUUUGAGAUUUUACUAAUAUAAUUAGUAUGAAUUCCAAUCCCAUCAUACGACAUUUUUGUUGUUUUUAUUAAAUAAUAUAAAAACUAAAGUAGCUUGAAUAAUUAAUUUUCCUAACCGUGAGUUUAAAAUAAAACUCUAGAUUAACAAACUCUUAUAAUAUUCUUAUAACAUACAAUCAAACAAUAAUUCUUAUAUUAGAAUUAUAAAACUUCUUGAUAGAAGUAUGCGAUUAAAUUAUAAUUAAAUAACAACCUUAUAUCAUAAUUAAUUUUUUUUAUAAAAUCACUUAAUUAAAUAAUAAAUAUAACUGUCUAUUAAGCCUUAUAUUAUGGAGAAAUUAUUUGGGGUAUGUGUAGCGGCAAGAAUUGUUUGAGGUAGAAGAAGUUGCUGCAACAGAGGCAAAAAGGGCAGCAAGUGAAAGGAGCAGCGGUAUGUCCAUUUAAAAGGGAUAGUAAGUAUGAAAUUGCACAAGUGUGGAAGGAGAGCAGACCUGGACAGAACUGAUAUGGUCUCAAUCCUUGGAUGAGGGCUUAGACCUGUACAACAAAUGUAUUGGGUUGGGGGUUGGAACAGUUCCAUAAACAGUAGAGAUUUGUCAAGGGAGGCAAGGCAAGGCAGUUUGUUAGUGGAGCGGCUGUUGUCAUAGUUAAUGUUUUGCUUGGAUCUAAGUUAAACUCUGUUUGCUUUCUUCGGAUAAAUAAAAAUCCAGAUUUGAUGUUUUUCAUGUGUCAAAUCUUGGGUAGUGAGAUUAAUGACAUUAAUAAUACAAAUUGCAGGUUGAGUUUGCAAACUAGCUACACCCUAGCAGGUAAUAAUACUAUCCAUACAUGGCAGAUUAUUAAGAAGCUUUGAGGACACUUGGGUAUCACAUGCUUUCGCAAAAACAUUGAUAAAUGCUUCAUUCUGAAAAAAGAACCCCUCAAAUUAAUGACACAGACACCAUAAAAAACUGAAGAAAGAAAGGCAGUGGUUGUGAAUCAUAUGAUACCAUGUUAAUAUUUACAGAGCGGCAAACCAAGGAUAUUUGUCAGAAGGAUAGUCAUUACUUAAUAGAAUGGUUAAGUUUAAUACCAAGAAAAUCGGCAGCUGAAUUGGCCAUGAUACUAGUAAACUCAAAGAAACUUACGACGCCGUCUCCAUUGGAAUCGGCCUCUUUCAUCAUAUCGGAAAGUUCACGGAAGGUCAAGGGAUGGCCCAUCUUAGCCAUGGAGCCAGCAAGCUCCGCGGGCGUAAUGAACCCAUUGCCAUCCCGAUCAAAUAAUUGGAAAACCUCCAACAACUGGGCCUCGUUUAUCAAAAUUUGGUGGGUGAUGUCGGGCAGAAUAGCGCUCACCAAUUCCUCGAACUCCACAAGACCAUUCCCGUUAGCAUCAAUGUCGCCUAGCAAAAGGUGGAUUUGGUCACCACUAGGCUUGAGACCCAAGGAGCGCAAGAGAGCGGCCAGCUCAAGCUGGGUGAGGCUGCCGUCGGAAUCCAUGUCGAAACGCAUGAAUAUGUCUUUCAAAUGCUUCAGUUGGUCAGCCGAUUGGACGCUUAUGUUCCCACAGCCACUCAUCAUCGCCAUAGAACAAGAUGAAGAUGCAAAGAAAGAAAAAAGGAAAGGGUUUGAAUAGGUCCUUCAAUGAGUUGAAGUUGUAGUUGGGAUACUUUAAAGACGUGGGUCUUGAUUUGCUUUUUGUUUCGAUAUGCGUUUGUUUGUAUUGUUGAGAAUGGAGCUGUUCAAAACCGCGUUUUCCCUUCUGCUAAUAACAGUUUGGAUUAAUUCCACCACUCAUCUUCAACUAUCUAUCACUUUUGGUUCAUUAUUUUCAGUUCACCACAUCUUGCUGCAUUUUAUCUUUCAAACUUCCUCCUUUGUUUAUAAAUAAUUAUAAGUGAUACUCUAUAUUAGUCGGUACAAAAUUUAUUUGUACUAAAUAAUUUAUUUUUUUCAUAAUUAUAUUAUUCAUAACAAGAAAACAGAAGAGAAAUAAAAAUAGACUAUUUUACUAAAAAAAUCGUUCAUUUCUAACUUUAUUUAUGAAAAUGGGCCACUUAAAACUUUAUUUAUUAGAAUGGGUCAAAAAAUCCAAAACGUGCCUACGUAAAAGUGUUUUAAAAGAAAAUUUCAGAAAAGUAUGUUGACGAGGACGCGCUUUAUCCUAUAUAAGCAAAAGUGUAUUGAUGUGGGCUCACUUUUCCCUGUGCUCAGACUAAAUUUUCAAAAAAGAUUAUUUUUUAAAAAAUAUUAUAAAAAUAGACUAGUCUUUUUAAAUUUUACAAGAAUAAGUCUUUAUAGAGACCAAAAGUGGUAACAUCAUUUUUUUUUUACUUUUAAGGUGUCACAAAUUAACAUGAAAAUAAAAUUUACAAAAUAAAUCUUUAUAUAGACCCAAAGACUCAUUUCACUUGUUUUCUUAAGCAAUAUAGGAUAUGAGAUAUAUGUAUAUAUAUAGCCAUGUUGCAACUUGUUCCUAGAUAAUGUGGUUUUUCCUCUUCUAACUAAUAAUAUAAGAUUAAAUGCUACACUAUAUUUUAUAAUUUUUUUACAAAACAAUUUCUAUUUUUUUAUAUUUUUGUUAACACUUUCUCAUAUUAUAAAAUUAUUUUUUGAGAUCUUUAAUCUUGUUGCAUUUUAAAAUUAUUAGCAUAUACAAAAGGAAUAUUAAAAAAAAGAACAAAUUACAAAUACGAAACUUGUACAUGCAGUAAUCUUCUAUUCAAUUUUAAAUGUUUGAAGUUAAUAUCCAUGCAAUUCUAAUUUUUAAAAUAAUUUUUCAUUAUUUCAAUUUAGAAGUUAUACUUUUAAUUUUUUAUUUUUUAUUUUAUUUUAUGUUAUGAAUGUUUGAUUAAUAAAUAAAUUGUGAGUAUUUGAUACUCAAAUACUAUUUUUUUUUUGUAAUUUUAAAAUAUUGAUAUCUCUCUUUUUUAAAUAUUUAUCUUUUUAAUAUUUUACUAUACUCAUUAAUUUUUUAAUCCUAUUUUUAAUUUAAUUUUCAAUACCUAAUGAAUGCUAAUAAAUUUAUUUCAGAUGUAUUUUGACUAGAUAGAUAAUAUAUUUAAACAUAGUAUAUAAUUAUGUUAAAUAAAUUUUUUAUAGAAAUAAAUAAAAUAUAAUAAUUAUUUUUCAUAUUUUUUUUAUAUCUAGAUUAAAUUACAUUAGUAGUCACUUAACUAUGAUUUUUUGGCUAUUGAAUUAUAAAAACUUACAAAAUGAUCGCUCAACUAUUAGUAAUUUUUUAAAUAUUUAUUUUUUUAAUAUUUUAUCAUACUCAUUUUAUAUUUUAUAAUUUUUCUUACUUAUAGAGUUUAAAAAUUUUAUUUAUAAAGUAACAAAUGUUAACUUUUUGUAAAAAAAAUUAAAAGUAAAAAAUUUAAAAAAUAGUGUAGCCUUUAAUUGUAUGUUGUUAGUUAAAAGAGGAAGGAAUCUCACGUUAUUUAGGAACAAGCUGCAAACCUAUUCAUGAGUCUAUAUAUACACAUAUCUCACAUUUCACAUUAUUUUAAAAAAAAAGAAAUGAGACUUUGGAUCUAUAUAAAGAUUUGUUUUGUAAGUUUUAUUUCUACACUAAUUGGUGGCACAAAAAAAAUGGUACUAUCACUUUGGGUCUUUAUAAAAAUUUAUUCUCGUAAAUUUAUAAAAAUAUUGGUCUAUUUUUAUAAUAUUUUAAAAAAUGAUAUUUUUUAAAAAUUUAGUCUGAGCACGGGUAAAGUACAUCCCAGUUAGCGCGCUUUUUUUAAAAUUUCCCCUUAAAAAGUUUUCACAUAGACACGUUUUGGGUUUUUUAACUUAUUCCGGUAAAUAAAGUUUUAAGUGAUCCAUUUCCAUCAAUAAAGUUGAAAAUAAAUUGUUUUUAGUAAAAUAGUUAUAAAAAAAAUUAUCACAAAAUUAAUGUAAAAGGGUAUAUUUAUUUAUUAAAACAAUUUAUUUUGUAUGUACGUUUUAUAUCUAGAAUAAAAGGAAUUAAUUAUUAAAAAAAGGUUUUUAUAAAAUAAUUAAUUGUAAAUUUCAAAAGUGGACCAUAGUUAAGCUUCUUUAAAUAAUGUUGACCCAAAUUCCUUGAACUAAUGCCAUUAAUGUGGUGAAGAUCCAAUCUUUAGAAAACGAAAAUAAAUAUAAUAGGUAUGGAAUUCAUGGCUAUCAUAUAACUUGAAAAUAAAAAUAAAAAAGAAAACAGCAAACGAGGGACAGAGGUGCAAUCAUCGGUUGGAAAAAAGUAUGAAAUACACAAAUGUGUUUCUUAUUAAUUUUAAUAUUCAAAUAAUAAGGUGCAACGUUAAGUCAGAAUAUAUUGUUGAAAGAGACAACUAUAAACCCUGAAAUUAUUAAUUUAUAUAAACCAUAAAACAUAUAUGGAUGAUACCUAAGUUCUAAUAAAAAAAUUUAUUUUGAAGAUUAAAUUAUUAGCAAAUGGUAAUGAUGAGUUAAUCAUUAAUGAACAUAAUCUUAAAAUUAAAGUUUAAGGUCUAACUAAUCUUUUGGUAUUGGACUAUGAAAUCACAAUAUUUUCAUUUAACAUUAUUGAUGUAAAUGGUAAAUAAGGUUGAAUGUUUCAUGAUGAUGGUUUUUUCAUCUCUUAAUAUUUGCUUGACAUGUAGGGGCGGAGUCAGAAAAUUUUUUGAAGGGAGCCGAAAUAAAAUUAUAUAUUUUUAUGAUAGCAAAAGUGAAAUUUCACUAUUUUAAUAGCCUAUAUCUUUAUAAUUUUUAAAAGAUUAAAUAAAUUUUUCUUGUUCUUGGGGCUAAAAUAUAAUUUUAACAUAUACUAAUUUAAAUUUUUUAAAAUUAUAAAAAGACUAAAGGCAAAUGUGGAGAAUCCAAAUGGAGGUAGCCAUCAAAAAACAAUAUUAAGUGGAACAAUCAAUGGAGAUGAAGGAGAGCUUACUACACCAACAUUGACUCAGAUUAUUUAAGUUAAUGCAACUAAUGUAUUAAUUAUCAAAGAAUGAAAACAGAAAUAGGCGAGGAAUAAAUGGAGCAAAUAGUGAAGAGGAUAAAAUCCAUAAUUAAAAAGAAGGAAAUUAGUGAAAAUUCCUAAAGAAAUUGCAAUUUGAUCUAAAGUGAUUAUUUGUAACUUGAGAAAAUAGAAAAAAGAAUGGCAAAAAGAGGUGCAAAUGAGUCUUUUACUGGUUUUGAUAUUCAAAUCGUAGGAGAAAUUUAUGCAAAACUCAUUGCACUAUCAACAAACAUAAUCUCAAAAUCAGGGUUUAUGAUUUUAGAUCGGUGCAAAUUGUUUUUUAAAGCUAAUAUUUUGGUGUUGAAUUGCAAAACCAUUAAUGACAUAAAUAGUGAAAUUAUGUUGAAUGUUUCAUAAGGAUGAUUGUUUCUUCUCUUAAUCUUUGCUUCACAUGUAUAAUUUUUUAUGAGGAUUUCAAAAAAUUAUUUCUUCAACUUUACCUAUUUUGUCACUUUAGCCCUAAUUCUUUUUUACCUUUCAAAAUUUACCCAAAUUGGUUAACUUGCCACGUUGGUUAAGCGGCUGAUGAGUCUUGGUUUGGGGUGGGUUUAAGGAAAAAAAAUUGAAGGGUUAUGGGUUUAGGGGGUAAAAAAUUAGAAAUAGAUUAAGAUUAAGGGUUUAGGGUUUCUUAGCUCAGUAUGACAAUGCUCAAAUCCAUGAAAUGCGAGAAAUCAAAUUUCCAAAUAAGAGCAAGAAACAUAAAUCCCAAGACAAUUUGGAUAGUAAUGGAGACAACAUGUAUAGUUUUUCAUUAUUUGAAAUUGCAGUGGUUGAUGCAACUGAUGUAGCUCGUGGUGCAUCAUUCACACCAUCUCCAGUCAUGCCACAAAUAUAAGUCAUUUGCUGUAACCUCAUUACCAUCUCAUAUUUGUGCUCAUGGGAACCACUGAGCCUGUAACCAGUUUCUUUGCCACUGGCUAGUUCAUCACUAGUGAUCACCUUGACAUCGACACCAAGAUUUAGAGCCAGAUGAAUUGUCUCCGCACUAAAAGCCUUGAAGGAUCGAGCAAAGGGAUUAUACCCACAAACUCCCAUGCUUCUCCUUGAGCAACCUUUUGUUUUUCUUGCACAGUUUGUCUAACCACAUCAAGAAAGUCAAGUCCUCAAUCUGCUCUGGCCUCUUUGGGAUCACCUAGCAUUCCAACAACACAGGUAACAAUAGCAUCUUGAUUCCCAACCCAACUAAGCAUAUACAAAAGUUUCCCAACCCAACCCAACUGUUUUGGAGAAAAUAUUUUCUUUGAUUUUGUUUUCUUUAACGCCUCUGUCUUUUUGUUAUUAGCAGUCAACCACAUUAGUUUUUGGGAACAAUUUGGGAAGGGAAGAGCUUUGCAGAACUGUUAAUUUUUUUUUAUAUCUGUUGAUUUCUUGGCCAAUGUUCUUAGCGUUCUUCGUCCAAAGCAAAUAAUUAAGUGAUUAACUUUGCUUCUAAAUUGCCAUAGCAGAAAAAAAGUUCUGGUAUAGUUCUUUGAAAGGAGAAUUUUGUUGGCGGUUAAGUGAAUGAGAGGGUGAAAGAAAAUGAGCGAGGAGCUUGAGGUUGAAUAUGAGAUACAAUGAAUGGAGGGCCAUUGGGUCUACAUACAGGGCAUCUCUAUUUUUCCUCCUCUUCUUCUCCUCCUCCUCCUCCUCUUCUUCUUCUUUUUCUUUUUCUCUAAUCCUAAAAUGGUGCUAUAAGGCUGUUAAAGUGAGAGUAACUGACCAACUGGACGGUUUUUUGACGCUAAUAACGCCGUCACCUGCCAUGUCACUUUGCCGUGACGUAUGUGACAGAAAACAGCAAAAAUAAUUAUUUUGUAACUUUUCAAAAGUUGAGUGACUAAAAUGAAAUUAGCUAUCCAAAAUUAAGUGACUGUUGGUGUAAUUUACCCUUAGAAAUAUCCUGUCAACCUGCUUAAAAUUUAUUUGAAUCUUCCAUGUGAUGUUAUCAUAAUCUUUCAAGUCGUAUUUCUAAAUUUGCUAUUGAAUUCUUAAAGAUGUUAUAUCAUGAUUAUAAAGGCAUCGCAUUUCCUGUAUUCAUCCCUCUCCACUACUUUUCAUUUCUCUCAUUUUCAUCCAAACUCCAUUUCCUAUUUUGAUGUUUCUAUUGUAAAAAUAAAAACAUGAAAAAUAAGUUCGCAAUAUUGCUAACUUACAUCGUAUUGCAAGCAGUUCUAAGUUUUUCAUGCGAUAACUGUAUUUGAGGUCUUUUUUUUUUUUAAUUUUCAUACAAAUGUUUUUCUUUUUUUUUUUCCAUUUUCUCUCCAGACAUUUUACUUUUAUUUUAAGUUUUUAAUUUAAAUAAGUACAAAGCUAAAAAGUAAUGGAAAAUUGGUGGGUAGCAAUAAUAGCAGGUCAGGUAGGGCGAAACUAGGGGUGCUGGAAAAUUUUUAUUAGAUAUAAAAUUACACUUUGAGUCUUUAAAAAUAAUAAAAAAUUAAUUUAAUUUUUUAAAAAUUAUAAAGAUAUAAACUAUUUAAAAUAGUAAAAUUGUAUUUUUACAAUACAAUUCUGGGUCCAGUCUUUUGAAUGUCAUAAAAUCAUGGAGAGAGCUAGCAGGUAGCAGCAGCUGAAAUGAAAGAAGACAUGUCGACUAACUCAUAGCACUCUACAAAAUCAAAUCUCCCGUUGGGUAGAUGACAUGAUGGUGAGGAGGAUGUGCCAGAGUGGAGUGAUCUGCCCCAGAAGCUUCCAAAUGCAAACUCCCCUCUACGAGACAGCUCCUCCAACACCUUCUCAGCUUCCUGUAUACAACAACAUUGAACCCCAUAUUGGGCAUCUCCAAAACCAGCUUGCCUUAAUUCUAUACUCAUGCUCAUGCAACUUUUUGUGACUAGUUCUACUUGUACUUCAUCUUGAAAUAAUCCAUCCUUCAUCUUCCCUUCCUUUCUUCGCUGUCCAAUUAGUUUCUUCUUGGCAUAUUGUUUGGUUUUCUUAACGAGUUUGGCAGGAAAUUUGAGGAACACAAAGAUGAUGAACUGGAGAAUCAGGCAUUGACUACAGCAGCAUAUGACUAUACAAUCAGCAGCAAGCAUGUUGCACUCUUCCAUCUCCAUAGCUAUCAAUAUGGUUGUCCAAGGAAGAAGAAGGGCUGCCCAUGGAAAAUAAAUUGGUUGCACUUUCACAACUCAUGUCAUUAUGUCUUGUUAAGGAAUCAGUUCCUUCUCCUGUUUGGAGGGGAGAAGAAGGGAGGUUAGGUUAUUACCAAAGGCAAGGCAAAACAGACGGAUUUGGCAGGCAGGGAGGCAAUUGGCGUUGCUCAAGUCAUGACGCAUGACUUGCACAUUACCACAAGCAUAAACCAACUCCCGCGCCGCAAUCUAAAAUGAGGCCGCCACCCAAUUUCCUUUUUUCUUUGUAAAACACAUAUAUUGCACGUUAAGAAUACUAUAAUAUAUAGCCUAAUGCUUCUAAUAAAGGAAUUGUGUGUGAUAUCAGUUCCAGGCCAUUGCUUAGGUCAGAUUAGAUUCGGUGUCAUAAUAUCUUGUUUCAUAAGAAGGCACCUUACUUGGUUUCUGAUACAAAGCAUUUUGAUGUUUCCCUUUCCUUUAUUUCCUUUUAUUCUUUAGAGAAGUUCAAUUCUUUCAUGCUCCCACCCCUGAUAUUGUCUAGCAGCUGCUGCUGCUCUAUUUGGUCUCUUGCUUGAGUUCCCCUUUUAUAAUAUUAUGUCAUAUUUUAUAUAUAUACCUCCCUAUGCAAAUUACAACUUCACAUGCUUAUCUCCUCUCCUCUCCUUUUUCUUUCUUUUUUCUCUUUUCUGUUUGCUAUUAGAUAGAGGAUUCCACAAGAGACAACGGGAAUCCACGACACUAACUACUGACAAUGUUAUCUUAGCAAAUUUGCAUUCAAGCUUUAUUGUAGCUUUAACUUCGGCUGGAACAAAAUUGGCAUCAACUAUUUAGAACACAAAAGAAUAGCAGUUAAAUGGCUGAAUGGGGAGAACCCAAAAAAACAAAUAAUAAUAUACAUAAAUGAUAUUUCAUGGAAACUAUAACAGGACCUAGUUACACCUUACAAUAUAUUGGAGAGUCUAAAACUAUCUCCACAUCUUGUUGCUGUAAAAUUCCAGAGACCCGCAGCUGAAAACCAAAACUCCAGCAGCCAUACCAAUUCAAAUUGGCAUCCAUGCAGUUCUGAAAUUGCUCAGCCUCAUCCCUGGUCAAUACUCGAUCAUAUUCUUCUUCAACUACCCCUGCUAAUGCUAUUUUCGCUAAAAUAAUCUGUACUGUAAUUUUGACUGCCAAAAGCCAUCCUCCGAAACCAUCUGAUUUCUUCAGAUUGCUGUGCUGAGUUAAAUACCUCACUUUCACCUACUUUCAUUCCAUUGCUCAGAUCUGAGGUGGCCAAACUUUCAAAAGCUCUCACAAUCUGAGGAAAAUAACUCAAGUAAGAAAGAAGUCACAGUGACAAUGUCACCAAUUCCAUAUGGUUCUAAUAUUCAAACUAGGAUACGGGAAACAAGAAAACCACGAUGCUAUUUAUUAUCCAUUUCUUCAGCAACAAACUUUAACUACCUGUCCCAUCCGUGGUCUUUUUGCAGCAGAAUGCCGCACACAUGCUGUGGCAGCCUCGAUCAUCCUAAACAUUUCACUUUCAACAUAGUUUCCACCAAGCUUUGGAUCUGCUAAACACCCAAAUUCCUCACUAUCCAGUGCAUGACUCAGUAAAGGCCGGGCCUGAAGUGUACAGAUGAUUUUAUGAGUAAAGUUUCGGUUAUUUCUUUCGCAUUCCAUCCUCAGAUGUCUUUCAAGAUUUUACCCGCAUGCAUGUCUAAAUACAUCAAUUUAGAUUUAGAAAAAGAAUAAAAAAGCAAACACCAACUAGAUAAAUAGUGGACACGUUCCUUUAUCAUCCACGGCUCUCUGUGAAAAGAUUAACUUUUGUUUCAAUAAGGGUAGUCUAACUAGGGAGAAAAUAUAUGAGCAAUAUCUGGCCCUUUGUGUAUUCAGCAACUAAGCUGGUUUUUGCCAUUUAGGCUAGUAGGUUAGAAGGAUUAAAGAAAAGGAAAGGCAGAGAUAGAAGAAGAAAUAUUUUUCUGUAGAUAGUGAUUAAAAGAGGAGAUUAUGAAUAAUGAAAUGAUUUUCUCUAGCAGCCACAAUUGAGAAUUCAGUACUAAAAAAGGGGGGGGGGAGGGCGGUUGAACGGAUGUAACAAAAAGGUACCUCAUUUUCAAAGGCCUACAACUAUAUUAAGCAAUAUAAAAUUGAACCACGAUCAACCUUUGCUAAAAUACAGUUGGGUUCUUAUGGAUUAAUACUUGUGUAUAAGAUGAACUUUAGAAAUUGGAACAUCACAAUAAUGAGUGAUUAAAUCAAUAAAUUACCCAUUCAACUAGACUUUCAUCACCAAGAGGUUGAGAUGCAUCUACAGGCUUUCGUCCAGUAAUUAGCUCCAAAAGCACGACUCCAAAGGAAAAUACAUCAGAUUUCUCAGUCAAUUUACCACUUGAUGCAUAUUCAGGGGCCAUGUAUCUGAACAAUCAACAUAAGAAUGGUUGAUAUAUUUUUUGUUAAUAGAAAGUUCAUAUACCUUUGGCUACUAACUAGUAGAACGAAACCUAUGAGUCCUCAGAGAAAAAGCCUACCCAAAAGUUCCCAUAACACGUGUUGUUACAUGUGUAUUUGCAUCCAGAGCUAACUUGGCAAGUCCAAAGUCGGAAACCUGUAACGUAGAUUAGGAAAUAGAAAGUGAAGGCCAUAGCCUCAUUAAGGCAACAACAGCUGAAUGUAGUUUGGAAUGACACAGAUAAAAGAGAAGCGUCCAUACCUGAGCUUCAAAGUUGUUAUCUAAAAGAAUGUUUGACGAUUUGAUAUCCCUAUGAAUAAUACGAGGAUGACCUGAAAUAUAAUCAUCAAAGAAUCCAAACAAUAUAAAUAAUAAACUUGAGAAUUUAAUAAAUCAAUAAAAUAUGUAAUGUGAAACAGACACAAGGUUCAUUUCCAAAAACAAUGAAUAGAUGGAGAAAUGUUUUGGCAAAUCUUGAAGAAGCUAAAUUCUAAAUAAAAGGUUACAUCAUGGACUGCAAUGUAAUCAACGAUGGAUGAUUGAUGCUUUUCUAAACGAAGCAUAAAAAUAUAUCAUCUACAUAAAAGAAAAAUAAGAGUGGUGAUGAAUCUGCCAUAUAUUCUUCUUCUAGCUUGGAAUAAGCUGAGGAAUAAUAGAAAUUCUUCCUUUUCUCCUUGUUCUUUUUAUUUUGGUUCUUUUUUCUUUUGGUUAAUCUACCUCAAGUCCCAGUAUUAAAAGCUGAAGAGCAAAUUAGUCCUUCCACUAUAAAAAUGAGAAAUUUAGCCCCCUAUACAUUUAAUUUUAAAGCAAUCGGUGUUAAACUUGAGCAUCAGGAAAUUUUAACUUGUGUUUCAAAGUGACUUCCAAAAAUGAGAAAAACCAAAAUUUAGCAGUGUUCAAAACACGACAAUGACUAAUUUGGUCACCUUUUAUUCACAUCACUUUAAAACACAACAAAUCAGCAUUUUUUUCACACUCACCCUUACAGUUUACCUAUUUGCUUCAAAAUCAACUGUACAAGGACUAAAUUGCUCACUUUUUAUCAAAGAGAGACUCAUUUGCUCCUAAGUCUAUAGCUGCCAGCUGGUCUAACCUGUUCCUUUUGUUUCUGAUAAAAACCUGUUUGGUUGCGACAUGUCUAGUAAAUUCUGAUACAGUGCCAAACCAGCAUGACGAUGUCAAGAUAUCAGAAUGCAUUCCCGCACCAAAAUUUUCAGAGUUCAUUAGAAAAACAGACAUUAGUUGCUAAAUGCUAAGUACACAAUUCUGGAAAAUAAAAUUUUCCGUUUUUAAGCAUUUUGGCAGGUUAUACCACUCUCAAGCUUGGCCAUUGAUAUCUGGAUGGAAAUACUUACAGUCUUCAUGGAGAUAAGCUAUCCCACGAGCUGCACCAGCAGCAAUUUUAAGACGUGUUGCCCAAUCCAAAACUGGCAUACCUUCUCCUGUCAAAGGUGAGGAGUAAGACAUAUGAGAUUAGCAGUCCAAUGCAGUGGGUCAAUUCUUCAAAGAUCAUUUAUGGCGCUUACCAUGAAGAUGGAAAUAAAGGGUAUUAUUAGGGACAUAAUCAUAUAUGAGCAGUCUCCGGUUCUCAGAGAUGCAGUAACCGACAAGUGAAACCAAAUGGCGAUGGUGUAUACGGCUAAUAAUAGCAACCUCAGCUUUAAAUUCUCGUUCACCCUGUCCCCCACCAAUUUUUAGCUGCUUCACUGCCACCUCUCUUCCAUCUGGUAAGCAACCUUUAUAAACAGCCCCGAAUCCACCUUCACCCAAAAGAUUUUGGUCUGAAAAACCAUUUGUAGCGAUGGUUAAUUCUUCAUAUGUAAACCAUGUCUUUGAAUUGCCUAAGCCACCAGGUUCCGGCAUCAUCGGUGGUGAAUGCACAAAAUCACUUCCAGAACUACUUCCAAUAAGAGGAGCAGAAGAAUGUGUCUUUGUAGGGGAUGAAUCUAUAAACAUGUUAAUAACAACGAUCAAAACAUUACCUCCAAUAACAAGUAAAUCCAAAAAUUUACCCACAAUUCCCAGAGCAACUGGAUAAAUUAAAUGAGCAUCUAUAUCCAAAUCAACCUUUUCUCUCAUUUGUACAAACCGGACGGAACCCCUCAAUCCCAAUGUCAGUGGCCAGUAUCUAUCGUAAGUAGGUUUCAAAGCAUUCAAUCACUAAGCUAAAAUGACAACAAAACUAUUAUUUGCUGUAUUAUGUUUUGUUUCUUUUCGCACGGUAAGCACUAAGCAGUAUUUGAUUUCAUACUAAGGGUAUGAGCAAAUCGUAUUCUGGAAGAAUGGAAUUAAAUGUUGAAGCAUAGCUCAAAGAAACCGAGUAUAUAGGGUAAGCAAUAACACGUCAAGGAAACAACAUUGCAACGAUUGAAAAACCUACCUGAUCUCGGGGAAGUGCCUAGUGGGGAUGGCAUAACAUAACCACCAUUAACUCGAGUAAACUUCUUUUUCUUCUGCCUCCUCAAGCACCAGACAGCCAGCCCAAUAAGGCUAAGCACAAUGAUCCCUACAGCUACUCCUAUAGCAACUGCACCUCCUACACCAAUGCCAUCAUUACCUGAGUCUGAACUUUCUGGUGCACUUGGACCAGGAGCAUUUACAGUCCGAUUAUCAGUUGGUGGAGUCAAAACUUGAGGAGGAGGAGGAGGAGGUGAUAAUCUUGAUAUAGAUGGUGGUGGAGAUGAGCUUGGAGUAGAAUUAGAGGGUGAAGGUGUUGGUUGAGAACUGGGUGGUGUACGCUUAGAGGGAGAUGUUGGGGCAGGAGAUAUUGAAGAUGGAGGAGGACGGGAAUUUGGUGGUUCUGUUGGCGGAGUUUGUGAUGGUGGUGGCGGUGGAUUUGGUGGUGGAGAUCGUGAUGGUGGUGGCGUUGAAAGGGGAGGUUGUGAUGGUGGUGGCGUUGAAGGGGAAGGUUGUGAUGAUGGAGGCGGUGAACUAACAGGUGGUGGCGGUCGCGGCGGCGGUGCUGGCGGUGGUUGUGAAGGAACAGGCGGUUGAGUAGAUGGUGUUGGUUGAGGUAGUGAUGGAGUUUGUGGAGGUGGAGGUGAUGGCCUGGGUGCAGAUGGUGGAGGACUAGGUGGCGGGCUUGAUGGUGGUGGCGAAGGCGGUGGAGAAGUGGAAGUGGAAGGAGGGGAAGUGGGUGAAAUAGGUGGGGGAGGAGGGGAGGCCUGCAGGGGUGGAGGUGAAGAUUCAGCAGGGGAUGGUGGUGACAAGGUGAGUGGAGGUGGAGCUGUAGAAACAUCCGGAGGUGGAGAUUGAGAUUGAGAGGGUGGCGGGAUAGCAUUAGCCGGAGGAGGAGUGCUAGGUGGUGGACUGAUAGCAGAAGCUGGCGACGGAGCUGGAGGAGAAGAUUGUGGAGGUGAUGAUGUGGUUGCCAUCGAUUCAAUUUACCAAAAUCAAAAUUGAUGGUACACUACGAAUACCUAUAAAUUCACAUAUGCCAACAUACUCGCUCAGUCUCAUUAAACAAUAAAAAUUUCAGAAGAUUCCUAUAAUGAAAGCUUCAAAGAUAUGCGGGAUUCAUCUAAACUAAUAACUCCACUAAUUUGUGGCUGAUCAAAUUGAAAUUCUACGAAAAUUCAAAAAAACAAACAUAAAAAAAAAGAACUCAAGUUUUUAGAGUUUUAAGUGCCAGCUGCUUAUACAAUCAAUCACCAAACUUCACCAAACAAACCACUCUUGCUUCAAAACACAGAAAACUUCCCAUAGCCAACUCUACGAUAGGCCAACUGUUGAUAACAUGGCAGCGGCAGGCCACUUCACCACCAUUUGGAGGUAACUCAACUUAAACCCAGAGCACCAGUGAGUCACUUAGAAAACCAAAACCCAGAUCCAACCCAGCAAAUGCAUCAAACCCUUACCUGUCUAAUUCCUAUAUUCUACAGUUAGGUCUCCAUGUCGGUGGUGUAAUGUUUUGGAUUCAAAGCUCACCCAGGAGGACCCAGAGGAAGGACACGGAUUGUGGGGUCACUCCCACAAAUCGUAAGCAACUUUGACGAACAAGACACCGUCUUGUUGGUUGCCUAAGUCUUUCUCAUCUCCCUGUUUAGACUACGCACUUUAGGCUGAAACAACGCUUCAAAACUCAUCAUCAUUAAACUUAAUCUGAUUUAGCAUUAACCAUAACAUCAUGAUUUAUGAUAUUCAACAUUUUACUAUGCAUAAGAUUCAAAGGGUCUUUUUUUCUUUUUUUAAUAGAAAAUAUUGCUAGAAACGUAGAGGCACAGUCGCAGACCUUUUCUAAGUUCUAAAUUGUAAGUUGUUAGUUGUCAGCUCUCGUAAAACCAUGGAAUUUUUUGUUUUUCUUGCUUUGCCAAAUUGAUUUACAGUACAGUACAGGCAUGUGAAAACAUUAAAAAAAUAAUGAUAAUAGCAAUAAUAACAAAAUAGCAAACAAAGUUUAAUUAAAAUAAAUAAUGAAGUUCCCCUCGAUCUACAGCUUAAAUAUUGUUCUUGUCUGUAAUCCUUCAUUUGUCAGGUCUCUCUCGUUUGGAGCCUCAGUUUUGACAGUGAUGUAAUAAUUUAUUAAUGUCCAAAAUUUUAUUUAUUUUACACUCCAUCCAGGAUUUUUUUGUUCUUUUCUGACCAAGCCUCAUCGAUUAUUAGAUACUAUAUUUUAUACUACUUUACACAUUAAAACGCGUUUCAUUUGGGUCCUUUAUAAUAUCAUAACAUCAAUUUUACUUCAUAUUUUGAAUUGAGGUCGACUUUCAAUUUUUCUAAUUUUUUUAUUUAACCGAUUGAGUAUAAAUAUUUACAAGUCUUUAAUAUUUUAUUAAAUUUAGACUCAGUUUUAUUUGACUUUAUUUUAAUUUUUUUAACAAAACUCAAAUAAAUUACGAAAAAAUAUCAAAAUGAAAUAAAUAUAGGUUUUUGAGGCUCAUAGCUACAGAUAUAAAUAUCGGAAGAUAAAAUAUGCAAAAUACAACUAAGAAUUUCAUAAAAUAGUUAGUACUCAAUAAGCCUACCCAAAUUGUGAGCCAUCUUAUUUUCUUGCCUACGUGCUGAUUGGAAGGAGAAGGUUUGGAAUCGAUGACUUUGUUCCAAAAAAAUCAUAAAUUAAGAGCGCGAUAUCUGAAUCAUCAACUUGCUUGCAAUAUGUUUCUAUAACGACCUUGUCUACCUGCAUCCAAAAAGAGCCUGUCGAGUCUCGCACCACUACCGGCCCAGGCUGACAUAAACACAGCAGCAUCAAUGUUGCACUUAUGCUAGUGGUCUGGACCAAACGAUAUUGGCGUUGCCACCUUUUCCACUACCAGCCCGCAAGCUUCCAAAAGCUUCUUGUGAGCUUUGCCAGCCUUGUAAAAAAAUAGCAGCGGCAAAUAGGACAAUACGUGAAUAACUUUUACUAGUACUUCCACAUAAAAUUAACUUGGUUUUUUUAUGAAUCAAGUCAAUAUUUUUAUGUGCGAAACAUGUAAGGAACUAUUUUUCAAAAUUUGUGUUACCCUUUUGAAUUUUCAAAAAGUAUUUUCGUUGUCCUAUAAAUUAUUUUUUAAAAUAUAAAAAAAAAACCAUUUUCGGAAUCAUUUUCAGCUAAAACGAUCCCUACAGCUUUCAACCUUUGUGUGCUCAUAUUCUUUUUAUAGAACUUGAAUUGAAUUAUACUUCAUAAUUAGAUAAAAACAAAGCAGUAAUUCCAUAUCUUUUAGUCUUUCGAGAUUAAUGACUUUUUUUCCAUUUUCUUAUUCCCUUGUACGAUUAAUAACUUUUAUAUUAGUUUUAGUAGAGAUGAUUGAAUAAUGAGUUUCCUAUAUAGCCCAUCAAAACACAUCUAAUUUCAUAAUACAUGAACAAGAAAAUAAUUAAAUGUUACUACUUUUGAUCAACAAAUACUCUUUGAGGAAAGAUGAGUUAGAUAGUUGUUGAAUGAUUCAAGGCAAUGUUAACUGAGGUGGUUUAAAUACUUAUUUUAUUUGAUUUGGUAAUUUAUUGAAAAAAUAAUUUAGAACUGUUAAUGUGUUGUUUUAUUGAAGGACUGAUCAAUAUUGUGUGUUGCAUUUAAAAAUGUUCAUUGAAGAACUAUUUUUGUGAGAGAGUGCAAACUUAAUUGUAAACAUUGUUAAGUAUUUAUUGCUCAAGUUCUCAAUAUGUAGAAAAAUCAAACUGUGUAAAUAAAUUUUGGUGUUCUAUUACAAUUCUCAUUUUUAAGUAAAUAUACAACUUAAAGUAGUAAUACAAAUACUAUUUUCUUUUUUCUGUGAAUUACAAUAACAAGGUAAAAUCCAAACAACUAACGUGACUAGCGCGACUUAAACCCAAGCCACACCUGAAACAAUGAGCACCCUUAACUAUCAGGCCAUCACAAUAUUCAACAAAAUUAAUAUAUAUUUAAAAAUUUCAGGUUUGGAAAUAGAAUGUGGAUGAUAGAGAGUUGAAACAUUGAGAAACUGUUAUUUUGUCUGGUUAUGAAAUAAAAUAGAAAAUCAUAAUCGAUAUUGAUAUAAGCCUUAAAUAACCAAGACAUACGACAAUCAGUUGAGGAACUUAGGACCAUAUUAGAUUUGUUGUAAUAAUAUUAUUCAGAUUAAGUAGAAGUAUUGUAUUCGUCAAAUUUAAUCAAAUUAAUUAAUUAUGUAUAUUUCUAUAUAAUUAAUUAAAAAACACCAACGUAAUUAAUUCAAAAAAUAUAAAAAACGCAUCCUUCAAUUUCUAUAUUUAUCGGUUUCAUUACGUUGGUGUUUUUUACUAAUUGUAAAGUCGGCUUUAUGAAUAUAAAUAUAUUCCUUUCACACGUAGCGCAGAAGAUGUGUAGAUAAAUGAUUAGGUGGUCCAACAGUUUUUUUCACCUUUUCUUCAUCAUUCUCCUCUUCAUUUUAAUGACAUGUGAAAGUCACAUUACAACCAUUUCUUUUCCAUUCUAUUAAAAUUCUAAUUGAGGUUUUGGAAAAGAUGAUAUAAAAAAUUCAUAUAUUAAGAUAAAGAUUAUUUAUUUAAAUAACAAUAAAAUAUAAUAAAAAUAAAAAUUAAGAAAGACUUGAUCAAUCUCAUAUUAUUAAGAUGGCUGUACAACAACACCUAACUUGGAAAGUUGACAAACAAAGGUAAGUUUGAUUAAGGCCUUUGUGACGCUAUCAACUAGUUGAUCAACCGCAUAAAUGUGAUUGAUCUCAAAAGUUUUUCUGGUUAACGUUAUCUUGGACAGAGUGAACAUCGAUUUCAAAAUGGUUCAUCUUACUACGCGAAACUUUUGUUAAACUAGAGGUUUAGUAUUUAAGGUUAAUAAAUUUAAUAUUUUUUAAAUGUUUAAAGCCUAAUAAUAAAAAUAUAAAAAAUUCAAAUCUAUAUGUAAAAAAGGUAAAUUACUUAGUUAAUCAUUUAAUUUUUAAAAUACUUUUAUUUUGGUAAUCCUUUGAAUUUAAUUAUUAUCAUUUUGAUCGCUCCAAUUCUAAAUCUCUAACCCCCGUUAAUAAAAAAAAUGAGUCAUCAAAUUUAUUUCUUCUCCAAAAUAUUGAAAGAAAAUGAUUAAAUUUUAUCCAAAAUAUAGUCAAUGGUCAAGCCAUCUUUCGUGGUCUGUUGUGACAUUAAGGUGCAUGUAAGCUCUUGUAAGGGCCUAAGGCUGUGUGAGAGCACAAUGUCUGGUAUAUCUUAAGAAGAGCAAACUAUGCAUAAACUAGAUGAUCCCACAAAGGAAGCCAAGGUGUUUUUUAAUUUAUUUUUUUUAUCUUCUGUAUGAUUUUAUUGUCAACUAUUUAACAAUGGUAUAAUAUGCUGAAUGCUAAAUAAUUAUUUUUUUUCAGAAAGGACGGUGCGACAUUUCAGGAACUCUAGAAGAAUGUUGGUAUUUCAUAAGAAAAAAAAACUAAAAUGAUGAAGAAAAUUGAACUGAGAAGAACUUAUUGAAAAAAGAAAAUAAUAAGUCAAGUAAUUGAAAUAGAAAAGGCACAUUUUAUUGAACUGAAACUAGUGUUUAAAUAGUAAACAAGUUAACAACUAGUAACUAAAAAUAGGCUACUAACAUAAUCAUAAUCUCUAAAAAAUAAUCUUAAAAAAUUUGAAACAAAUAAAAGAAUUAUGAUUAUAUAUAAAAUUAGCUAGGUUAUGAUAACUAAAGCAAAACUUCAACACUCCUCCUUGCUUUAGUUGCUGCAAACACCAAGUAUUAUUCUCAGAACUUCAAAUUUUCUUACUAGAAGCGGCUUAGUGAAGAUAUCUGCAACCUACUUCUCUGUUUUGCAAUGAACCAGUAUAAUGUUACCUUCUUUUUGCACUUCACUUAAGAAGAAAAGCUUAAUAUUGAAAUGCUUAGUCUUCCCAUGAAAUACUGGAUUAUGAGAAAUUGCAAUGGCAGCUUGAUUAUCAAUGAAAAUCUUUGUGCUUUCCUUUUGUUCAAGGUUAAGAUCACUUAAUAAUUUUCUCAACCAUAAAGCUUGACUAACAUUGGCUGUUGCAUCAACAAAUUCUACUUCAGUAAUGGAUUUAGCCACAGUUUCUUACUUCUUUGAGCUCCAUGAGAAAACACCAGAUCUAAAAGUAAAACAAUACCUGAUGUACUACUCAUGUCAUCAAUGGAACCUCCCCAAUCACUAUCAGAGAAGCCAACAAGCUUGAACUCUUUGCUUCUUAUGAAUUUAACACCAAAGUUACUCGUGCCUUUGAUAUAACGAACUACUCUCUUGGAAAGAUAUGAAAUGAUAAUGAUCAAUGAAUGUAUAUCUAUGUUUAUGAAAAUUAUGAAUUCAAUGGUAUUAUGUUCAUGUAAAUCUACCUUACCAUGUGAUAAUUCAAUUGAGUUAUGUGUUAAAGCACUAACAUGUGUUGUUGAUGAUACUUAGGCUUGUGCCAAGCUUAUAUUGGAUUGUAUGAUGUUAAAUUUUAAGGUUAUGCAGUGAAAUGGUAAGUUAUGUUCAUGUUUUACGAACUUACUAAGCAUUAUACGCUUACGUAGUUUUCUUUCCUAUGUUUUAUAGAUUAUCGGAAGCUAGAUCGAUUUGGAAGCUCGUCGGAGACCUAUCACACUAUCCAAUGGUUAUAUCGAGAGUUUUUGAUGUUUUGGCUAAGGUUAUAAUGGCAUGUAUAGGUGGACUUAUGUUUAAGGUUUAGUUGAAUGCUAAAUGUUGAUUUUGGUAUGUAUAUAUGUUGGUUGUUUAGUACCAUAUUAGUAAUGGUUGAAUUGUACCUUUUAUGUGCUUUUGAUUUAUGAAAGAAAUGGUAAAAAUGGUAAGUUUAUAUUGACAUGGUAUAGGUCAAGUAUGGUAUGUUUUGAAAUGGUAGCAAUGUGAUCAAAUAUGCAUAUGUAUAUGUAUAGGUAAGUUAUAUGCUUGUUUUUGAGGUGUCUUAUAUGGCAUAUUGGUUGAAUGGAAAUUGGUCAUUUGAAUUGGUCAUGUUAUGCAUGUUUCGGUAUGUUGGUGAUGCCUUGGUCAUGUGUGCAAAUUGUGUUUAGAUUCAAGCAUGAAAUGGGUGAUGGAAAUGGCUUGAUUUUGGUCAAUUUCAUAUUCACACGACUAUGUGUCCUCUGUAGGUUUGAAAGGCAUUCAAGUCAAGUAGUUACACGGCCUAGCACACGGCCUGGCACACGGGCGUGAGGCCAUUUUGAGUGUUACACGGCUUGACAAACAGACGUGUGGCUUGGCCAUGUGACCCACCUCAGAGAGUUACACGGGCAUGGACACGAGUUGGGACACGGUCGUAUGUCCCUAUUUUGAUUAUUACACAACCUAAGACACGGGCGUGUGACCCCUGUAGUUUAAAAUUUCUAAAUUUUCCCUAAAUGUUCCAAAUAUUUCCAAUUUAGUCUCAAUUUGUUUAUAAAGUGUUUCUAAAGUGUUUCUAAGGCCUCGAAGGCUCGAUUUAGGGACGAUAUGUAUAUGAAUUAUUUAUAUUAUGUUUAUGUUGAGAUUUAGAAUAUAUGUUUUAAAGUUACGUUUUUACGGUGAUGCUUCGUAACCUUAUUUCCGGCGACAGAUACAGGUUAGGAGUGUUACAAAUAACAUAUAAAAUUUUACAUUCUUUACAAUUUAGUCCUUAUUUUCAUGAAAAUCAAUAUUCAUUUAAUUAUCACUUUCAUUUCACUUAGAAUUAAAUUCACUAUCAUAAACACUUCAUUUGAAUUGUCAAUUCGAGUAUUUUUAUUUCAUACCUCUAUUUUUUACACUCUUUACAAAUUAGUCCUCUUACAUUAAUUUCACUACACUUAACUUUAAAAUAUUUUCAAUUUAGUUCUUGCUAAUGUAUAAUUAAAUAACCACUUUCUCCUCACUUAGAAUACAUUUCACUUUCAUAUAUCACUUCAUUUAAACAUUUCAUUACAAUAUUUUAGUACACAUGUUCACUUUUGAAUGUUUUACAAUUUAGUCCUUAUCAAUAUAAAAUUUCAUAAUCACUAUAAACCCACUUCAAUAUCACUUUAAAUUUAACUCACUACCAUAUAACGCUUCAAUUAAGCAUUUAUUCAUAAUAUUAUAUUCUACACAUUAACUUUUGUACACUUUACAAUUUAAUCACUUAUUCCAUACUUUUAUUGUCGAAACCAUUUUUUUAAAAAGGUCAAGUUUUAUUUUUUGAAAACGAAAAUCGAAAAUAGGAGUUGCCACCAAUUCCUUUUUUAUGAGGUGUGAUCGGGUCACCUCGUAAUUUGUUUGUUUUAAUAAAGAGAUUAAUUUACUAAAACAAUGAUUUUUGGUCUACGAAAUUUAGAAAAAAUGGGUUCGGGAGUCGGUUACGUACGAGGAAUGAUUAGCAUCCUCGUAACGCCCAAAAUCGGUACCUUGUCGAUUAAUUAAUGUCUUAAUGUCGAAAGUUAAAAACUCAAAAAGAACUUAAAAUACGAUCCCUCUUUGUAUUAUGUUAUGUUUACUUAAAAAUUUGCUUGAAUAAGUUGAAAAAUAUAUUGAAGACCUUCUUAUAUCGAGGCAACGAAACGUCACGUCCCGUAAGUUAGGACAUGACACUUCAAAUCUUUGAGAAUAAGUUUGCCUUGUUUUUUUUUUUUUUUGAAAUUUCAGGUGUUUCAAUUUUAAAAGGAUAUUUGGUUAUUUAGAUCCAACGAGAAAAAGAAUGAAACCCCGUAAGUUAGGGUACGACUUUCUCGAGUCUCCAAACACAUAACAUUGCCUUACUUUGAAAACCUUCCCUUUUUUAAAUAACAUCGAACGUAGUAUUUAAAUUAUAUGCAUUUAGUUUAUUCAAACUUAAUGUACAAAUGAAUGGUUUUAAAACCUAAUGUUUGAUAUUAGAAUACUACAAAUAAAUAAGAAAUACCAUAAUAAUAUAAUUUUGGUUAGUAUUAAUAAUCGCAUCAUAAUAAAAUAAAUGAGUAAAUUUAAAAUAUAACAAAAGAAGUGAAGGAUGCUAAGUAAUGAUGAUGAAUGUAAGUAACAUGUAAAAAUAUAAAUAGAUAAGGAAUGAAAUAUGUACAAAUAAUGAAUAAGAAAUGUGUAAAUAUGAAUAAAAUAGACUUUAAAAUAAAAAUAAAGCGAUAAUAAAUGCAUAAAUAAUGAGUAAAUAAUAGCAAAAUAAAAAAGUAUGAGAAGUUGAAGUCGCAAUAAUAAAUAUAUAAUUGGCAACAAAAAGACUAAUGAAAAGUUGAAAAUAAAUCAAUAAAAAAAAUUAUAAAUCGCAAAAUGAUUGAGGAAAAUAAUUUAUAAAAUAUCGAAGAUAAAGGACUAAAUUAAAAUAUAAAUAGAAUUAAGGGUGCAAUUUGUAAAUCAAAUACAUGAAUGGAUAGUAAUAAUAAUAGAUAUAAUAAUAAAUUUAGUAAAAGUAAACAAAAAUAAAAAAAGAGUAAAAAUAAAAAAAUAUAAAUGUGCAAAUAUAAAUAAAUAAAUACAAAGAAAAAUAAAAGAUUGAAGGUCAGGGGCAGAAUUUAAAGAAAAAUCUUAAUAAAAUAAAUAGAUAUAUCGAAUUAAUAAAUAAAUAAAGCAAAUAAUAAAAAAAUGAAAUUAAUUGAGUAAAGGACCAGAUUGGAAUUGAAACAGAAUUUAAAGUAUAAAUCCUAAUAAAAUAAAUAAUAAAACAACAAAAGGAUCCAAAUGGAACGAGCGCAAAAUGAAAGGGGACCUACUGGGUAAUUAUCCCAAGUCCCCUAAACGCGUUGUUUCCUAGAGGAUGUAAACAAAAUAAAAUUAAAAUUUUGCGGUAAAAAUUAAAAGAGAAAGAAAAAUAAAUAGGACUACAUUGUAAAACAUCAAAACAGUGGGAGGGCUGAAACUGAAAAUAACCCAUGCACUACGAAAACACGCGGAUCAUGGAAUCGGGUCUGGUCGCGCCGUGGGUCGUCAAAACGUCUUCGUUUUGACAUCUGCAAAUUCGGCCCAAAACGGCACUGUUUAUGUAAUACUCCGAAAAUUUCUAUAGUAAGAUAUUAUCCUUGAUAUAGAAAAAUAAGGAAAUAAGUGAUAGAAAGGGAAGUUUUGAGUUAUGCUAACAUUGGGAAGUAAAUUAUGAUAUCUUGAUUCAGGAAAAGAUUAAAUUGUAAAAGUGUGAAAAGUUUUGCUGCACAAGAGCAAAUAUUAAAAACUUGAGUGGUUAAAGUGUAAAUAUAAAAAAGUUUAAGGACCAAUAGUGCAAAUAUUUUAAGGGUGGAAUGAUCUAGAAACCAAGGAAAAUGGAUGAAUUAUGACCAAAUUAAAUAGGUGAAGAAUUAUGAGGGACUAAAUUACAAAUUUUACCAAAUUAAAUGAUGACUUAAUGAUGGAAUUUUAAAAGAUAAUCAAGGGCAAUAUGAUCAAUUAGAAGGAGAGAGAAAUCUAGAGACAAUGAUGAUGUUGGAGAUAUUUUAGAUAAAUUAAAUAAAUAAAUAUUAGUUUAUUAAUACUUUAAGUUGAUUUUUAAAUGAUAUUUUAUUAUUUUAUUAUUAUUUUAUUUAAUAUAUAUAUAUGUAAGGAAAGAAAGAGGAAGAUGAUCACCAUUCUCAUGCAACUAACGUGAGAAGAAGAAGAAAAAGAAAAGAAGAAGUUUCAUUUUCUUACAAUUUGGUCCUUCCACCAAAAAUUCAUCAUUUUCACCUAGAAAUCAAAAGAAUUUCCAUAGCCAUCAAGAGAGAAAGAUAACAAGGAGAUUAUGGGGAGCUAGAAUGUCAAGUUGAAUUCAAGAAAUAGAAGCUGGAGGAGAGAGAAAAAUCAAGUUAAAGGUUGAAAUCAAUAAGAAAAGGUAAGAACAUCAAGAUUUCAAUAUAUUUUUAAGUUUGAUAUUAUUAAAAAGCAUGGAAUUGAUGUUAAUGUAGAGUUUUCUUAUAUAUGGACCUAUGUUCUUGACAUGUAGUGAAGAGAAAAUAAGAGAAAGUGAUGAGAAAGUGUAGAGAAAGAAAAUAAGGGUGUUAUAAACAUGGUAAAUAAACAUCUUGCACUAAAACAAUUUUGGACAGCAGCAGUAGGCUAACUUUGAAAAAAUCACCAUAAAUUAUAAAAAUUGAAUUAGAGGAUGAAAAAAAUAUUGAAUUAAAUAUUAUUGAGUCUAGUUUCUUAUAGAAGAAACGGUGUAAGAAAUGGAAUUGUGAAUUAUGAGAUAUAAUAAAUUUUGUGAGACAAGGUUAGAAUGAUUUUGGGUUCCCCUGUUCUGACUUUGGAAAAUCAGAAAAAAUUUGAGAAAAAUAAUUAAUGGCUUAAAUUUAUAUGUUUAAAAUCCUUAAUGAGUCUAUUUUCAAGAUAAAUAAUCGGGAACAUCAUCUGAAUCUCGUAGAAGGAGAUAAUUAAUUCUUAGCGAAGAAGGGUGAGAACUGUCAGAUAGCAGAGCAGGGGUAAAUUUAAAGAAUAAACUGUACUUAUUGGCUAAACAAAAAAUUCUAAAAAUUUUAUGGUAAGAAGAUAUGUGAGUCUAGUUUCAGGAAAAAUUAACAGAUCUUAAUUUGGAGUUCUAUAUCUUAAGAUAAAAAUAAUUUAUUGACUAUGACAGGGGUGGACAACUUUGAAUAUACAUAUAAGUAAAUAGUGAAAUUAUAGAUAAUGUUACUUAUAAGCAUGUUAUAUAUAUUAAGGAUGUGGAAUGGAGAGGAGGAGGAGGAAAAAUAUAUAUGAAUAUUCAGCUAGUAUGGUUAAUUUGCAUGUUUUAGACUCAGGGACUAAAUUGAAUAAAAGAAAAAUUGUAGGGGAAAUUUUGUAAAAGGUCAAGCUGUUGUAUGUUACACGGAUGAAAUAUAGCAGCUACAAAUGUACCGUAAGUUGUCCGGAUGAAGUACGUUUUUUUUGUAACAAGCGACCUGUAUAUGAUUUGACAGAAAACUUUAAAUGUCAAAAAUGACCAAAUUGAAGGAAUGAAUUGUUUUAUUGAUUAAAUUAAUAAAUUGAAUGAAAUUAUUAAUUUGGAUCAAGAUUGGGUGAAAAUCAGGGAAAAUAAAAAAUUUACCAAAAUAUCUCUGAAUCUUGGAAUCUCUGCAAUUUAGCCAGGUAAGUUCGUGUAAAUUGAAUUAUAUUCUUAAAUGCUUGAAAUGUAUGUUAUUGAUGUGAAUAUGAUUUAAAUAUUCCUGGUAUGAAAAUUGAUGAAACAUUGAUAUAUUUGAUAAAAAGAAGAAGAAAUCCCGGUUGAAUGAAAGGAAAUUUCGAUAGAUCUCUAAAAAAAGAAUUGACGGUAAAAAGGAUCUAGCUCGGACGAGUAAUCCUAUUCUAAUAUAGCCUUCCCGAAGAAUAUGUGUAAAAUGGAUUUGGCCCGGACAGGUAAUCUGAAUUAAGGUCUGAAUUUAGCCUGGACUGGUAAUUCAGAUCCAAGCUCAUUAGAGUAAUUGUCAUUGCAGGGGAUUUAGCCUAGACUGGUAAUCCCGACAAUACUCUAUGAGUUUAUAUUACAGGGCAUUUAGCCUGGACUGAUAAUCCCGCUGUAAGGAUGAGGUUCGCGGGAGUGUGCUUUCUGAAAUGAAAUGUGUAAGACCAUGGUUGAAAGAUACCAUGGCAACAUGAUAUGAAAUGUGUAAGACCAUGGUUGAAAGAUACCAUGACAACAUGAUAUGAAAUGUGUAAGACCAUGGUUGAAAGAUACCAUGGCAACAUGAUAUGAAAUGUGUAAGACCAUGGUUGAAAGAUACCAUGACAACAUGAUAUGAAAUGUGUAAGACCAUAGUUGAAAGAUACCAUGGCAACGUGUCAUGAAAUGAAUAAGACUAUGGUUGAAAUAUACCAAGGCAACAUGACAAAAAAUGAGUAAGACCAUAGUUGAAAGGCACUAUGGCAUCAUGUCGAAGAUAAAUAAGAUCGUGGAUGAGAGAUGCAAAGACAUCUGUUGAACAACUAAUAUUCAGGUAAUAUGUACUAGAUGACGAAUGGUUAUAUGAAUUGGUUAUACAAAAUGGUUGUGUGAAAUGUUUACAAGAACUGGUCAUAUGGAAAUAUAUGUACAAAAUAGUUGUAUGAAUUAAUUAAGAAGAUAGAUAAAUGAAAUAAGUAUAGGUACAUGGAAUUUAAUUUAUGUUAAGUUUAAUAUGAACAAUUACCAAAAUAUAUAUACAUGAGAUAUAUGGAAAUGAUGGUGCAUGAAAUAUUGAUAUAACUAAAUGAAUGAUAUAUGCUUAUGAAGAAACGGUAAGAGAAUAAUAUGUUUCGUGACAUGUACAUAUAUGAUUAUCUUUGAUAUGUUGAUACAAGGAAAUUAUGUAAAUUGAGACUAUUAUUAAACUCAAUGUUGAAAUUAUACGAAAUAUGUACAAGUAUACUAACAAUGUUGUUGUUUGAUACUUAGACAAGUGCCAAGCUAUUGAUUGAACAGUAAUAUGUUUAUUUAUAUGAUGCAUUGAAUCAAUAAGUAUUUUAUUGGAUUUUUUGUUAAAUGAUAUGUAAAUCCUAAUAAUGCCCCGAAACCCUAUUCCGGCAACCGAUACGGGAUAGGGGUGUUACAGUUUAGUCCCUAUAUAAAUAUAAAAAAUCCCAAAAAAAACAUUUUCCCUUUUAUUUUUCCAAAAAUUUCAGAGGGUUCUCUCAAAUCCUCUUUCCCUCUCCCCAUUUCCAGCCAUCGGUCCGGCCUUGGCUAUAGUAAUCGGCCACCGUGGCGGCUGUCAGUCGCCGGUGACGGCGCCGCCGUUCACGGUGGCCGGAAAAGUAAAAAGGUCAUUUUGGGCUUCUUUUACUCUUUAAACCCUAAUUUAGGGUUAUUUCUUCUAAAAAAUGAUUAAAAAUUGUGAAAGGAAUGAAGAACCCUUCGGUUCUAGGGGUUUUUUCUUUUUUUGAAAGAGAGCCACCUUUCAUCGGAGGUGACGGCCUCGGCCAUUCAAGGUGACGGAGCGCACCCUCAGGUACAUUUUUUCAAACUUUUUGCUCUUUUUUAUUAUAUUUCUAUUUAUAAAAUAAAUUCAUAACAAAUAAAAUAUUAAAAAAAUAACCUUUUUUAACUUUGAAUUUGGUUUUUGAUUACUAUAUUGUGUAAAAGAUUACAAUCUGCCAAUGGCUUUUAUAGCUGAUAUUUACUGUUCAUUGUAUACUGUUAUUCUUAUUUUUCUAUUGUUUGCUUUCGUCUCUGCUUUUCUGCUUUGUUUUCUUUCUUCGUUCUCUUUGUAGGUCUGGGCGAAGUCAAUGGAGGUGGGUUUUCCCCAUUUUUGUGCAAAAUGACCCAAGGUGCCAGGCCUCGGAACGAGGCGCAGGCGAGGCGACCGAAGGGGGCGUGCGAAUGGGAGCAGCUCACAUGGAAUUAGGGUUUAGGUUUCUGCAAAAAAUGCUUAGGCAUAUGGGCUUGUAAUUUUUGGGCUAGGGUUUUUAGUUUUGGGCCUGCAAAAUUUGGGCUUUUUAUUUUGGACUUUGGACUGGUAAUAUUUGUUUUGGUUUUAAUUUUUGUAUUUGGGCUGGGUGGUUUGGGUUUUUACUUGUUUGGUUUGUUGUUUAGUGGUGUAACACCCCUUACCCAAGACCGUUUCCAGAGUCGAGCACGAGGCAUUACUUAGCUUAUCUUACCAAUUCGGAGCAUAAAAACUAGGUUUGAAAAUUUAUUUCAUUAUUCGCAGCGAAUCUGUCCAAUCGCGCAGCAGUUACUAAAUUAAUUAUAACUUGAGCUACAGAACUCGAAAUUUAAUUCCGUAAAUUUUCCCUGAAACUAGACUCAUAUAUCUACUCACCAUAAAAUUUUUAGAAUUUUUGGUUCAGCAAAUUAGUACAUUUUAUUAGUUAAAGUCUCCCCUGUUUCACCACCUGACUGCCCUGACCUCUAGUCACUAAAAAUAAGUUUUCUCACUGUAGGAUUUUCAUGUGAAGUUCUUACUUGUUUCUACAGAAAAUAGACUCAUUAAAGAAUCUAAGCAUGUAAAUUUCAACUCAUAACCAUUUUUUUACAAUUUGUAAUUAUUUUCUAAACUCAGAACAGGGGACUCCAAAAACAGUUCUGACCCUAUCUUACUAAAAUUCACAUAUCUUAAAAUAUAAAUUUCUUUUUUCUACAACGUUAUUUUUCCAUGAAAAUAGACUCAACAAGCUUUAAUUCCAUAUAUCAUUCACCCUCUAAUUCAUUUUAUACUAUCUUGGGUGAUUUUUCAAAUUAACGUCACUGUGCUGCCUGAAUUCUGUUUCUUUGCAAAAUUUUAUCCUUUCAUGAUUUCCAUGCAUAAUUUAUCACCUAAUCUUUCAUAACAACAAACACCUUCAUCCUUAAUCAUUUUAAUAACCAUACAUCAUCAAAUACUUACACAUCACUCAUUAGCAAAAUCAUCAUUACAAACAUACAAAAUAACUAAAUCCCUAUACAUGCCAUAACUCAAACGUGUUUCGAUAUAAAAUACCGAGCAGUUGUAGUUGAUAGUGUGGACGAUCUCCGACUUCUUUAGGAUCCUUGAAGUAGCUUUGCAAUACUAUAACAGAAAGAGAAAUAAAAGAAGUAAGCAUAAAGCUUAGUAAGUUUACUAGCAAAUAAAUAACAAUAUUUAACUUAAAUAAUUAAACUCAAUGUCUAUAUCUCUAGUUUACUCUUUAGUUAAUCUCAUACUAGUUCUCUUACUUGUUUACUUAGAAUACUUGUGUGCAUAACUUACUCAAUCCUUGCUGCAUCGUUGAACAUCAAUUGAUAGUAUAAUAAGUUCUUAAGUCUUACAACUUACCUGAGCUUGCCAUUUAUGCUUUAAACUGAACUUUCAUGAACAUGAUUCGUUUACAAGCCCGUUGAGCUACAUUGGAAUAAUAAGGAUACUCGGGUCUCUUCUGAUAAUAACAUGCCAAAGCCAUGUCCCAGACAUGGUCUUACAUGGGAUGUUCUCGUGAUGGUGCCCAUGCCAUGUCCCAGACAUGGUCUUAUAGGGGACCUCUCAUCUCGGUGCCAACGCCAUGUCCCAGACAUGGUCUUACAUGGGACCUCUCGUCUCGGUGCCCAUGCCAUGUCCCAGACAUGGUCUUACAGGGGACCUCUCAUGAUCUUAAGGAUGCCAAUGCCAUGUCCCAGACAUGGUCUUACAUGGGAUCUCUUUACCCAAAUGUCAUGACAUUCGUAUCCAGUACCAUCCUUAUGUAUCAACGGGACUUUUAAAUUUUAAUUCUCUAUCAUUCCAUGCUUGGAUCAUCAUCAAAUAAAUUCAUAAAAUAAAUUCAUAAUUGCUGGAAAUUAACAGCAUUAAUAAUAAAUAUUGAAAUAUUGCAUUUAUUUACCGUAAACUUACCUCGGUACCAAUUAUAGCCAAAUUCACCAACUUAGUCUUCAACUUUAUUCUUCCCUUUGUCUAACCUCGAGUUUCGUACUUCUUGAUCUAAAAUAGUAAAUUUAACUUAUUUAAUAAUCACAUUCAUCAAAACAGCCCUCGACUCUAACUUUUUCAAAAUUACAAUUUUGCCCCUAAACUUUUACAUAAUUACAUUUUUGCCCCAAGGCUCGGAAAUUAAACUUCAUCUCUUAUUCUUAUGUUUUAUAACAUUCUGAACAUUUUUCCCUUCUAUGGAAACAUCAAAUUCCCACUCUAACAUGUACUUAUGAACAUUAGGUAUUUUUACCGAUUAUGUCGUUUUACUCGUUUUCACUUAAAAUCGCUUAGCAAAAGUUGUUUAACAUAAUUUCUAGCUUCAUAUUCUAUCAUAAAACAUCAAAAUAAACACUUUUCACCUAUGGGUAUUUUUCCAAAUAUAAACCCUAGGUUAAAUUAUUGCUAGAAUAAGCUAAAUUAAGCUACCGGGAUCUCAAAAACGUAAAGAACAUUAAAAACGGGGCUUGGGAUCACUUACUAUGGAGCUUGGAAGCUUGAAAACCCUAACUAUGGCUUCCCCCCUUGCUGAUUUCGUUCAUAUGAAGAAGAUGAUGAUUUUUGCCAUCUUUUUCCCUUUUAAUUCAUUUUAAUUACUAGAUUACCAAAUUGCCCCUAACUUAAAAAUUUUCUAUUUCACUUAUCUCAUGUCCAUUUUUGUCUACCAAGUUACCAAUGGUAUAAUUACCAUAUAAGGACCUCCAAUUUAAAGUUUCAUAACAAUUGGACACCUCUAACAUGUAGAACUCAACUUUUUCACUUUUUACAAUUUAGUCCUUUUGACUAAAUUGAGUGCCCAAACGUCGAAAUUUUCGAACGAAAUUUUCAAAAAAUCAUUUUGUGAAAUUGUAGACCAUAAAAAUAUAAGAAAAAUAAAAUUUUUCUCAUCGGAUUUGUGGUUCCGAAACCACUGUUCCGAUAACCUCAAAUUUGGGCCAUUACAACUCUCCCCCCUUUUUAGGAUUUUCGUCCUCGAAAAUCUUACCAGUAAAGAGAUUCGGGUAUUGCUUCCUCAUUGUCUCUUCCGGUUCCCAUGUUGCUUCCUCAAUCCCGUGCUUUUGCCAUAGCACUUUCACCAGAUUUACCUUUUUGUUUCUAAGCUCCUUUGUUUCUCGUGCUAAUACUUUAACCGGUUCUUCAUUAUAAGUCAUAUCCGGCUGAAUUUCUACUUCUGUUGGAGUAAUAACAUGUGAAGGAUCCGAUCGAUACCGUCGUAGCAUAGAUACAUGAAAUACAUUAUGAAUUUUGUCGAGUUCCGGUGGUAAAGCCAAUCGGUAAGCAACUGGUCCAAUUCUUUCUAUAAUCUCAUAUGGUCCGAUAAAUCUUGGACUCAAUUUACCCUUUCGACCGAACCGGAGAACUUUCUUCCAAGGAGACACUUUUAAGAAUACUUUAUCACCCACCUGAAAUUCAAUCUCCCUUCGUUUAAGAUCGGCGUAUGACUUUUGACGAUCGGAAGCUGCUUUUAAACUAUCCCGAAUCAGUCUUACUUUUUCUUCUGUUUCCCGAAUCAAAUCAACCCCGUGUAUCUUCUUUUCACUGAGCUCUGUCCAAUAUAAUGGUGUUCUACAUUUUCUACCAUACAAAGCUUCAUACGGAGCCAUUUUAAUACUGGACUGAUAACUGUUAUUAUAAGCAAAUUCAAUCAAAGGUAGAUACCUUUCCCAAUUACCUUGAAACUCUAAUGCACAACAUCGGAGCAUAUCUUCCAAUACCUGAAUUACACGCUCAGAUUGGCCAUCUGUCUGAGGAUGAAAUGCAGUACUGACAUACAACUGAGUACCCAAAGCUUCUUGCAAUUUGUUCCAGAAACGAGACGUAAAUCGGGGAUCUCUGUCUGAUAUAAUGGAGACAGGCACUCCAUGUAGUCUAACAAUCUCAGAUAUAUACAAUCCAGCCAAUUUAUCUAAAGAAUAAUCCAUACAUACUGGGAUAAAGUGCGCGGACUUUGUCAAUCGGUCGACAAUGACCCAAAUGGUAUCUUUCUUCCUCGGAGAUAACGGUAACCCAGAUACAAAAUCCAUAGUGAUUCUUUCCCAUUUCCACUGUGUGCUUCGUGUAAAAUCUUCUGUACAAGUUCUGAAUUCUUCGGUACACAUACUCUGCCUCUGAAUAAUAAACAACCAUCAGUUCCAAUCUGAAAUUCUGAAUCAUUACCUGACUCACAAUGCACCCGUUUAGCCUGUAAUUUCUCAUCAUUCCUCUGAGCUUCACAUAUUUGUUGACGAAAUGUCGAUUUAGCUCUCAAUUUAGCUAUGAUUGAACCAUCAUUAGACAGUGACAACCGGGUAUUCAUAGCUCGUAAAGCAAAUAGAGAUUUUCGGCUCAAAGCAUCAGCUACCACGUUAGCCUUACCCGGAUGGUAAUCAAUAACCAAAUCAUAAUCCUUUAUCAAUUCAAGCCACCUGCGUUGUCUCAAAUUCAAAUCUUUCUGUGUCAUCAAAUAUUUCAAGCUUUUGUGAUCAGUAUAAAUAUGACACUUUUCACCAUACAAAUAAUGCCGCCAUAUUUUCAAUGCAAAUACAAUAGCAGCUAACUCGAGAUCAUGUACCGGGUAGUUUCUUUCAUGUGGCUUAAGUUGUCUUGAAGCAUAGGCUAUUACUUUAUCUUCUUGCAUCAAGACACAACCCAAACCAUUUAAUGAUGCAUCACUAUAAAUAAUAAAUUCCUUACCCGAUUCAGGCUGUACCAACACAGGUGCUUUCGUCAACAACUCCUUCAAUCGGUCGAAACUUUGCUGGCAUUUUUCUGUCCAUUCAAAUUUAACAUCUUUCUGUAAUAAACGGGUCAUUGGAGAAGCUAUCAUAGAAAACCCUUGUACAAAUCUCCGAUAAUAACCAGCUAAACCCAAGAAACUUCUAACUUCAGAUACAUUCUUCGGUGGACUCCAAUUGACAAUAGCUGAAAUUUUACUCGGAUCUACCCUGAUGCCUUCUGCGGAUACAAUAUGUCCGAGAAAACCUACCUCUCGAAGCCAAAAUUCACAUUUACUGAAUUUAGCAUAAAGUUUCUUUUCACGCAGAAUUUGCAACACUAUUUUCAAAUGUUCUGCAUGCUCAGUUUCAUCCCGAGAAUAAACUAAAAUGUCAUCAAUAAAAACUACUACAAACCUCUCUAGAUACGGUCUGAAUAUCCGGUUCAUCAAAUCCAUGAAUACUGCAGGUGCAUUAGUCAACCCAAACGGCAUAACCAGAAACUCAUAAUGCCCAUACCUGGUUCUGAAAGCUGUCUUUGGCACAUCUGGCUCUUUUACCCGUAACUGAUAAUAACCCGAUCGGAGAUCAAUCUUUGAAAAUACUGUGGCACCUUUCAGUUGAUCAAAUAAGUCAUCAAUUCGAGGCAAUGGGUACUUAUUCUUUAUAGUUACCUUAUUAAGCUGCCGAUAGUCAAUACACAAUCUCAAAGACCCGUCUUUCUUUUUCACAAACAGAACUGGAGCACCCCAAGGUGAAUGACUCGGACGAACAAAACCUCUGUCAACAAGUUCCUGUAACUGUGCCUUUAACUCUUUUAAUUCUGUAGGAGCCAUACGAUACGGAGCUAUGGAAAUUGGGGCAGUUCCCGGAAUCAGAUCUAUAGAAAAUUCCACUUCUCUUUCUGGUGGCAACCCUGGUAACUCCUCUGGAAAUACAUCAGAAAAUUCACAUACAACUGGCACUGCCUGUAUCUUUGACUCAGAUACCUUAGUAUCCAACACAUACGCCAAAUAAACAUCAUACCCUUUUCUAACACACCUCUGAGCUGUCAUAGCUGAAAUCAUAUCGGAUAAUCCCUUUGUCUGAUUAGAUUUAACCCAAAGUAAUUCUCCAUUCUGGCAUUUCAACACAACAUAUUUUUGUCUACAGUUUACUACUGCAUCAUGCUGAGUUAACCAAUCCAUGCCCAAUAUCACAUCAAACUCAUCAAAAGGCAAUAACAUCAAGUCAACCGGGAAACAAAUACCUUUUACCAUCAGUGGACAAUUUUUACAAACUUUAUCCACUAUCACAAACUGGCCCAGGAGGUUCGAGACUUUAACCAUAAAUUCAGUAGGUUCAACAGACAAAUUUUUAACAAAUGCUAAUUUUGUGCAUAUAUAUGAAUGUGUAGAGCCAGGAUCAAUUAAUGCAAUAACAGUAGUAUCAUAGAGAGAAAAUGUACCCGCAAUUACAUCAGGAGAGGACGCCUCUUCACGAGCUCGAAUAGCAUAUGAUCUUACAGGUGCUCUAACAUCUGAUCUAACCGCUGAAUCUUUGAAUGCACCCCUAUUACUUGCCCCCACUCAUGGGUUUCUCUGCGGUCUACCUCUGGUAGGAGCAUUACCUGAUCUCGCACUCGUUAUUUCUUCUCUUUUAGUUGUUUCAGGACAAUCCCGAAUAAAGUGAUCGGAUGCUCCACAUCUGAAACAAACAUUUUCACCUGCUCUACACUCUCCAGGGUGGCGUCUCCCACAUUGAGGACAUUCCAGUCUAGGAGGUCGAGUACUGCCUGUACUUGCAACUGUAGUGGUUUGAGCUCUAAAACCCUCGAAUCUUCUACUUCUGCUUCGGCCAGAAUAUAUAUGUGGAAAAUGUGAUCCGCUAGAGAGCUCCCUAGGCCUCUUAGAUGUAGACUGAAAUGAUUUACUCAUUUGCCUCUUCUUUGUAUCCUGCGCUCCAGCUUCAGCUUUGCUCUUUUCUUUUUCUUUUAACAAGUCUUCUACUUUACAAGCUCUUUCUACCAGAACAACAAACUCUCUGAUUUCCAAUACACCCACUGAUACUCGGAUGUCAUCAUUAAGCCCAUCUUCAAAUCUCUUGCACAUGUUGGCUUCGGUGGAUACAAAUUCCCGAGCAUACUUACUAAGUCUGACAAAUUCGCGUUCAUAUUCAGUCACGGACAUCUUACCUUGUUUUAGCUCAAGAAACUCCUUCCUUUUCUGCUCUGUAAAUCUCUGGCUGAUGUACUUCUUUCGAAACUCCUCUUGAAAGAAAUCCCAAGUAACCCUCUCACUCGGUACGAUAGACACGAGAGUCUUCCACCAAUGAUAAGCGGAAUCUCUGAGAAGUGAGACCACACACUUCAUACAUUCUUCCGGUGUACAAGAUAAUUCUUCAAAAACCCUGAUGGUAUUCUCAAGCCAGAAUUCUGCUUUUUCUGCAUCGUCAUCUUUGGUAGCCCGAAAUUCUUCAGCCCCUUGCUUCCUAAUCUUAUCAACAGGUGGUCUCUCCCUGAUAAAUAUACCUGCAGCUGGGGAAGCUACAUGGGGAACCUGUGAAUCUUGAGGGGGUGGAGGUCUUACAGCCGGAUUCGUACGAACGAACUCGGCAAACCAAUCAGUCAUGGCUUGGAAGAAGGCUUCUCUAGCUCCUCCUCCCUGUCUAUCUGAUGCAGGUCUUUCACUAACAUUAACAUCUGAUGGCACCGUCCCUUCUGCGGGAAUAGGCGCAUUACUCUCUACUUCAUCUGUACUAGCUCGUUCAGGAUCCAUAACUAUAAAAGAAAACAUUUUAAAAUCGUCAAGAGUUGUCACACUAUCAAAAUAUAUAACUAUGGCAUGUAUAGGUAGACUCUUAUUCUUACUGAGUAUUUCCGAGAACCGACUAAACCUGCUCUGAUACAAAUAAAAUGUAACACCCCUUACCCGAGACCGUUUCCGGAGUCGAGCACGAGGCAUUACUUAGCUUAUCUUACCAAUUCGGAGCAUAAAAACUAGGUUUGAAAAUUUAUUUCAUUAUUCGCAGCGAAUCUGUCCAAUCGCGCAGCAGUUACUAAAUUAAUUAUAACUUGAGCUACAGAACUCGAAAUUUAAUUCCGUAAAUUUUCCCUGAAACUAGACUCAUAUAUCUACUCACCAUAAAAUUUUUAGAAUUUUUGGUUCAGCCAAUUAGUACAGUUUAUUAGUUAAAGUCUCCCCUUUUUCACCACCUGACUGCCCUGACCUCUAGUCACUAAAAAUAAGUUUUCUCACUGUAGGAUUUUCAUGUGAAGUUAUUACUUGUUUCCACAGAAAAUAGACUCAUUAAGGAAUCUAAUCAUGUAAAUUUCAACUCAUAACCAUUUUUUUAAAAUUUGUAAUUAUUUUCUAAACUCAGAACAGGGGACUCCAAAAACAGUUCUGACCCUAUCUUACUAAAAUUCACAUAUCUUAAAAUAUAAAUUUCCUUUUUAUACACCGUUAUUUUUCCAUGAAAAUAGACUCAACAAGCUUUAAUUCCAUAUAUCAUUCACCCUCUAAUUCAUUUUAUAAUAUCUUGGGUGAUUUUUCAAAUUAACGUCACUGUGCUGCCUGAAUUCUGUUUCUUUGCAAAAUUUUAUCCUUUCAUGAUUUCCAUGCAUAAUUUAUCACCUAAUCUUUCAUAACAACAAACACCUUCAUCCUUAAUCAUUUUAAUAACCAUACAUCAUCAAAUACUUACACAUCACUCAUUAGCAAAAUCAUCAUUACAAACAUACAAAAUAACUAAAUCCCUAUACAUGCCAUAACUCAAACGUGUUUCGAUAUAAAAUACCGAGCAAUUGUAGUUGAUAGUGUGGACGAUCUCCGACUUCUUUAGGAUCCUUGAAGUAGCUUUGCAAUACUAUAAGAGAAAGAGAAAUAAAAGAAGUAAGCAUAAAGCUUAGUAAGUUUACUAGCAAAUAAAUAACAAUAUUUAACUUAAAUAAUUAAACUCAAUGUCUAUAUCUCUAGUUUACUCUUUAGUUAAUCUCAUACUAGUUCUCUUACUUGUUUACUUAGAAUACUUGUGUGCAUAACUUACUCAAUCCUUGCUGCAUCGUUGAACAUCAAUUGAUAGUAUAAUAAGUUCUUAAGUCUUACAACUUACCUGAGCUUGCCAUUUAUGCUUUAAACUGAACUUUCAUGAACAUGAUUCGUUUACAAGCCCGUUGAGCUACAUUGGAAUAAUAAGGAUACUCGGGUCUCUUCUGAUAAUAACAUGCCAAAGCCAUGUCCCAGACAUGGUCUUACAUGGGAUGUUCUCGUGAUGGUGCCCAUGCCAUGUCCCAGACAUGGUCUUAUAGGGGACCUCUCAUCUCGGUGCCAACGCCAUGUCCCAGACAUGGUCUUACAUGGGACCUCUCGUCUCGGUGCCCAUGCCAUGUCCUAGACAUGGUCUUACAGGGGACCUCUCAUGAUCUUAAGGAUGCCAAUUCCAUGUCCCAGACAUGGUCUUACAUGGGAUCUCUUUACCCAAAUGUCAUGACAUUCGUAUCCAGUACCAUCCUUAUGUAUCAACGGGACUUUUAAAUUUUAAUUCUCUAUCAUUCCAUGCUUGGAUCAUCAUCAAAUAAAUUCAUAAAAUAAAUUCAUAAUUGCUGGAAAUUAACAGAAUUAAUAAUAAAUAUUGAAAUAUUGCAUUUAUUUACCGUAAACUUACCUCGGUACCAAUUAUAGCCAAAUUCACCAACUUAGUCUUCAACUUUAUCCUUCCCUUUAUCUAACCUCGAGUUUCGUACUUCUUGAUCUAAAAUAGUAAAUUUAACUUAUUUAAUAAUCACAUUCAUCAAAACAGCCCUCGACUCUAACUUUUUCAAAAUUACAAUUUUGCCCCUAAACUUUUACAUAAUUACAUUUUUGCCCCAAGGCUCGGAAAUUAAAAUUCAUCUCUUAUUCUUAUGUUUUAUAACAUUCUGAACAUUUUUCCCUUCUAUGGUAACAUCAAAUUCCCACUCUAACAUGUACUUAUGAACAUUAGGUAUUUUUACCGAUUAUGUCGUUUUACUCGUUUUCACUUAAAAUCGCUUAGCAAAAGUUGUUUAACAUAAUUUCUAGCUUCAUAUUCUAUCAUAAAACAUCAAAAUAAACACUUUUCACCUAUGGGUAUUUUUCCAAAUAUAAACCCUAGGUUAAAUUAUUGCUAGAAUAAGCUAAAUUAAGCUACCGGGAUCUCAAAAACGUAAAGAACAUUAAAAACGGGGCUUGGGAUCACUUACUAUGGAGCUUGGAAGCUUGAAAACCCUAACUAUGGCUUCCCCCCUUGCUGAUUUCGUUCAUAUGAAGAAGAUGAUGAUUUUUGCCAUCUUUUUCCCUUUUAAUUCAUUUUAAUUACUAGAUUACCAAAUUGCCCCUAACUUAAAAAUUUUCUAUUUCACUUAUCUCAUGUCCAUUUUUGUCUACCAAGUUACCAAUGGUAUAAUUACCAUAUAAGGACCUCCAAUUUAAAGUUUCAUAACAAUUGGACACCUCUAACAUGUAGAACUCAACUUUUUCACUUUUUACAAUUUAGUCCUUUUGACUAAAUUGAGUGCCCAAACGUCGAAAUUUUCGAACGAAAUUUUCAAAAAAUCAUUUUGUGAAAUUGUAGACCAUAAAAAUAUAAGAAAAAUAAAAUUUUUCUCAUCAGAUUUGUGGUUCCGAAACCACUGUUCCGAUAACCUCAAAUUUGGGCCAUUACAAGUGGGUCGGGUCAAAAUUGGCCUAUUACAUUCAUUAUAGAACAUUAAUUCACUUUGAAAAUUAAAUUAAAUAAAUAUAGUCACUAUACUUUAAUCAAUGUAGCACAGAUAUUUUUAAGUUAAUCACGCAACUACUAAUAUAACAAUUUCACAUAUUUUAUACUUGGAUUUUAAUAAGUAUAGUAAAAUUUUUGAAGUACUUACCUCUCUUUUGUUAGAAUUUCACUAUUUUGCCUUUAAUUUUCUUCCUUCCUCACUUUUGUCACCACCUUCACUUUGUUUCCAACACUUCCAUUAUUUCUUCUCUUUUUUUACUUCAUGAACACUUUAAAUACAUAAUCAAUUUCUUUACUAGAAAUCACUUUCUCAUAUUUCUACUUCAACUAAACAUAAAUUUUAUAAGAAGACAAUUAAAUUCUUACAUUGUCUCUUUAAUCUCUUCACUCUCUUCUCAACUUUCUUCCCUUCCAAUUCCAAUUUCUUCUUAACUUUUUGAUGGCUAUGAAAUUCUCAAUAUUUUUGAGCGAAAAAGAUGAAAUUGACGGAAAAUGACUAAUUUAUAAAGAAAAAAAGGUUUCUCUCCUCUCCCUUUUCUUUCUCACCUUGGAAAGAUGAAGAAAAUUCUUCACCUUGGAAAGACGUUUUUUCUUUCUUUUAAACUAACUUUUUAUAAUUAAAAUAUUAAUAAAAUAUCUAAAUAAAAUAUUAUUAAAAUAAUAAUAAACUAAUUAAAUAGUGUAAAAUAUCACUAACAUCAUGAUUACAAUCCAAUGACCCAUAUUUUAUACUUCAAGACUAAGCAAAUCCAAUGGUCAUAAUUCAUCCACACAUCUAAUGGUAUUUUGGCAAAUUUUCCCCAAAUUAUCUUUUUUUACUAAAUGACCAUUUUCCCCUUGAUCAAAUCUUAUAUUUCCAUUUAUGUCCUUAUGCACUUUUGGGUAUUUUCACUUUUAUUCCAUCAACUUUUUAAAUUUAUACUUCAACCCCUUAACUUUUGAAUAUUCACAUUUUGACCUCAUCAUUUUUCACUUUUUCAUAAUUUAGUCAAUACCUUAUAUUUAUAUCUCACAAUACCUUUUUCAACUUUCUCCAGUAUCCAAUACCUUUCUCUACAACACCAAUGUCAUUAUUUCAUUUACUCAAUAAAUCAAUUAUACACAUUUCGAGUAUAACACUUUACAAAUUCAACAUGAUGAUUUUAGGGGCAUUACAAAAAAUGUUAUAUUUUGGGGGGCUAAAGUGCAACACCCCUAUACCAUGUUUGACUCAAUGAACCUGAUAUAGGAAUAUUACAUUUGGUGCCAAAGUAAUUCUUGGCUAAUUACUAAUAUAUUUGAACAUAAAAAUGGACACCUGGAACAUGCUUAAUAUUUUUCUUAAGUACAUGUCAUUCUAUUUAAAAUUUUAAAACAUACCCUAUUGUUGCUUGAAGAUGUGAUGAGAUGAAAAUUUGCAAUCUCAAAAUUCAAAUCUUCAAAAAUUUCUAUACCUAAUCUAUGCACGGAAACAAAUUGUACGCUGAGUAUACACCCAGUGGUAGCACUAUAAUUCAAAUACUUAAGGUAAAAACAAUAAAUAUACAUAACUAAUCUUACCACUAUUUUACUUUCAAUAAAUCAUUCAUGCAUUUAAAACCUUAAAUUUUCUUAGUAAUAUGUAUCUUAAAUAGCUUUUCUUCAUUUUAACUUAUAUAUCUUCUUACUAUAUCAAUAUUCAUUGCAUGCAUUUCAUCAAUAACCAUUUCAUAAAAUCAUUAUUUCACAUAUUUCAUUUCUAUAUCUCAAUUCAAUAACUUAUUCUAUUUCAUAUCUAAAACCUUACCACGUUAGUCUUUCAAUAAUUAUUUAAACCAACAUUUUUCAAUAAAAAUAAUUAUAAUUAAUUCAUAAGAUUAUAUUCAACUAACUCAUACACUAUUUCAUUAUUUCCAAUUCAUUCUAUUUUCACUUCUUAUUUCGAUAUCUCAAUUUCAAUUGACAUUUCAAUUCAUAAUUUCACUUUCUCAUACUUUCAAUAGUUCAAUCGAUCUAUUCAUUGGAUUUUCUCAUAUCAUUUAUUCAACUAAUUUCAAUAUCAAUAAUUUGAUAUUUUAGCAAAUUCAUGAACCUUAAGUUCAUGCUUCAAAUCUCACAUCUUAAUUCCAUUCACAAUUCAACUCAUAAUUUCUUUCUCACAUUUUUAAUAGUACGAUCAAUCAAAUUUAUUUAAUUUUCUCGUUUCAGUUAUUCCCCCUAUUAACUAACCCGGACUUUGACAGAUACACGGAUUCCAACCCAAACACACCAGUACGGCACAUUGUGCCUAAAACGGUACAUAGUACCUGAUCAGUAUAUGACACAUAAGUGCUUGAAACGACAUACGAGGUGCCUGAUACGACACACGAGGUGCCUGAAAUAUGACACAUAAAGUGCCUGAUCGGCAAAGCCGAUAUAUCCCGUACUCUUCCAAAUCCUAUGGCAUGCCAAUUAUAUCCAACUCAGCCCGAUUAGUUAAUAGGGUAUUUUAAUUCUCAAUUCACUUUCAUUUCCAAUUCAAGAUCACUUUUCAAUUACAAUUUCACAUUCAAACCAAUAUACAGUUCAAUUAUACAUACACAUUCACCAUUCAAUUCAAUUCAAAUUCACUUUUCCACUUUCUAAUCAAUAAACAAUUCAAUACCAAUUUCAGAUAAUCACAUAUAAUCAUAUUUCGAUUCAAUUUAAACUACUUUUCAAUCAAUACACAAUUCACAUAUUCACACAUAUUCAUAAAUUAAUGCACUUUUAUUUAAUUCAUAUUUUUAAUUCACUUUCCAACCAAAUUCAAAUCACUAAUUACUUUUCAAUCAAUAUACAUUUUCAAAUAUUCAUAUAAUUCAUAUUUCAAUUACUUAAUUCAAAUCAAUUUUAAUUUCCAAUUUGUUUACAUUCAAUUUCAAUAGCCAUAAACAUUUUUGAAUCAAUUUCAUUCAAAUCAAUAUCAUAAUUUCAAUUGCUUACCUAAUUUUACUUGCUAUGCAUUUUAAUUAAAAUAUAACAAUUAAUAAUAAAUAGAUUUGAAUUAUAGUAAUACAAACCGUGAUUUUCGUGUCUACUCCUUGUCCACUUUUUCUUUUUCUUUCUUCGUGGAUGCCUCGAGUGCGAUAUUAGCAAUUAAAGCUUUAAACUUCAAAACUCUAAUUUUUCCUUUUCUUUUUCUUUUUUCCUUCUUUCCUUUCCCCUUGUUUCGAAUUACUCUCUAUUUCUUUUCUACUUUGUUUUGUUGCUUUCUUUUUUGAUUUUACUUUAUUAUAUAUAUAUUAGUUAACAAUAAUAAUAAUAAAUAUCUAUUUACUAAAAAAUAAUUAAAUAAAUUAUUUAUUUAUCACCAUACACUUGGCUUUUAUUUAAUUCAAUUCAUAAUAUGAUACUUAUAAUAAAUUAAUUUAAUAAUAAUUUUAAUAAAUAUCUUUAGCUUAAAAUAUAAGUAAAUAAAUAAUUAUAUUACAAAUGUUUACAUAUAUUUAUUACACAUGUGUUUUAUCAUCACCCCACAUUUGUCAACUAUUUAAUUUAAUUUAUAAUUUAAUAUCAAUUAAAUAAUAAUAGUAAAUAUCUAUUUAGUAAUAAAUAUAUGUAUUACAAUGGCGGACACAUAUAUUUUUUUUCAAUUAUAUAUUAUCAUCACCAUCCACUUGUCCUUAUUUUAUUUAUUUUAUAAUAUAAUAUAAUAUAAUUAUAAUAUAAUUAUUAUAAUUUAACAUAAUUAAAUUUAUAACUAAGCUAUUUAUUUAUAUUAAUUAAACAAACAAAAAUCUAAGAUUUUUGUUUUUGUUUGCGGCCUCAACUUAUACUAAAUGGCUUAUUUGCCAUUUUGGUCUUUAUUAUUUUUCUUUUAAUUUACAAUUCAACUUUUACCCUUUAUUUACUUUAGCCUUUUUUCCUAAUUACUCUUAAUUAAACUAAAUUCACCUAAUUAGAAUCUAAUUAGGCACACUACUAUUCUCAUAAAUAUUUUUAAUAAUUAUUUAUGAACCCAUUUCAUUAAAACAGAGACCCGAUAUUGUACUUUUCCGAUGCUCGUGAAUUUUGGGUCAUUACACAAAGUUUCAUUUAAGCCAUAAAACAAGAAUAACAAAAAAAAAAGUACCAACAAUGAAGAAAGGGUAUAUAUCGAGUUUAUUUUGGGCUUGCAAUUUGGAGUAUAAUAAAUUUAUUUUGGAUUUAAACAAUAACGAGUAUAUUAUUCGAGUUUGGGUAAUAUAUUCGAGUUUGGGUUUAAGAUUAAAUAUUUUAGAUUAUGAGUUUGGGUUAAUUGUAAAAUAUGGAUAUUGAGUUAUAAAUUUAAUAAUAUAUUUUUCUAACAUUUAAAAUUUUAUAAAAAAAUAAAAUUAUUCAAAUAUCAAUCUAUUAAUAUAAUAAAUAAAAAAAUUUGAAUUUAAAAAGUUUUCUAAACGCAUGCUUUAUUUUUAGAUAUUGUAGAUAAUAGUUCGGAUAUAUAAAAACUAUAUAAGUGUUAUAUAACCAUAAAUAUUACAUACAAAUAAAAAAUAAGAUGUACAAAAUUCAUAUACAUAUAAUUUAAUAAUAUUAAUUAUGUUUAUAAAAUUCAUAUACAUAUUAUAUAAUCAUAAAUAUUAAAUAUAAUAAGCAAUUUAGUUAUAUUAGAUAAAAUUUAUAUUAUAAUAAACUAUUUAAAUAGAAUUUCCGUUUUUUAAUAAGCAAAUUUGUAUUGUAUUAUCUUUAUAUAAAAGUCAAAUUAAUUAUUACAAUCAAAUUUAAAAAUAUUUAUAACUUACAAUAUAUCAAAAUUAUUUCAACAUAUCUAAAAUUCUCUAAAAUAUCAUCCAAGUUUUAUAAAAUCUAAAUCCAAAUGCAACCUAGCCAUUUAUGUACUCCAUGAUACUAAUUGUUAGGAAUACCUACCCAAGUAGGGCAAGGGGUUAGGUUUGAGUUAGUCUUUAAAUUUUUGACUCUCUUAUAAUUAAAAAAUAAAUAAAUAAAAGCAAACGUGAAACAUUGAUAUAUAAUAAACAAAUCGAAGUUAGUUGGAACAUGAGUAAAGAGAUCAUAAAUAGGUUGCACUAGCAUUGCAUGAUCUGUGGUGUGUGGCGAAGAAAAGGGAAGAUGGCAGUGAAUGUUGUGGAAAGCAAAGAAUGGUAUUUAGCAGGGUACGCUGCCGAAGGCGUUCCAACCACUGAUCAUCUAACGCUCCGCAGUGUGCCGCUGUCCUUAUCGCUCGAUUCCAUACCCGACGCCCAUGUAGCCGUUCAACUCCUCUUCAUCUCUGUUGAUCCUUAUCUUCGUACCAGAAUGAGCGGCCAAGAAGACGGCUUAUAUUUUCCGCAGUUCAGCCUUAACCAGGUUCCUCCCAUUAAUUUAUCUCAUCAUUUCAUACCUUAAGCUAAGCAGUAAUUAAUGGCUAGCAGUAGCUUAGCGUCUGUAACGAGCUAGCUGUAGACGUUAAUAAAUCCUAUAUAUAUGAAUGCAGGUGAUAACUGCUUUUGGAGUUGGAAGAGUGAUGAGAUCCAAGGAUGAAAAGUACAGUGAGGGUGAUAUUGUGUUGAAUGCUUUCUUUCCUGUAGCUGAGUACUGUGUGGUGCCAUCUAGUGUCCUCAUAAGAAAGAUUGACCCAGAGGCUGGAAUUCGCUUGCCAGAAUAUCUCAGUUGUCUUGGUGAUUAGUAAAUUCAUAAUUACUACUCCAUCCUUUGAAUUUCUCACUAUAAAAUUAUAGAUAUAAUAUAAAGGUGAUGAAUGGAUGGAUGGAUGGAUGGAUGUAGGGGUUCCCGGGUUUGCAGCGUGGGUGGGGAUAGAAGUGCUGGGAGAGGCAAAGCCGGGGUCAAACGCUUUCAUAUCAGCGGCGGCAGGUGGUGUAGGAAUGGUUGCGGGGCAAUUGGCUAAGCUCAAGGGUUGUAGAGUCAUUGGAAGCACCGGAUCUGAUGCCAAGGUACUCACUCACUCUGCUGCUUCUUCUUUUUUUCUUCUGUGUUACUCCUCCAUUUCAACCUCCUCCUCCUCCUUUUUUUUUUUUUUUAGUAUCCAUGAUUACCGUCGAAAAUUGCGUAAUUAUUUCAAAUGCAACGUCAAAAAAUGAUGAUGAGUUAUCGGUGAGACUGAGUGGAGUUAGUCUGUUUGAAAAAAGAGAGAGAGUGAGUGGCGAACUGUGAAUGGUGCUUAGGCCCCACCCCAUUUGGAGUGCGGUGCAGAGAUAGCUACUCCGUAAUCCUCAUGGAAACAACACAUUUUCGGCUUAAUGCAAAGAUGUGUGGUUAGGAUAAGCAAAAUCUCGGCUUUUUUAUAAAAAUAAUCUGAAUAAUUUAAUUAAUUAUCAAAAUGAUUCACUUUUUAAAUUAAGUACAAAAAUGACUUGAAAUCUACACUAAAAGUUAGUGGAACCAAAUGAUUUGACACUACUAACAUGCCACGUCAGUCGAGAGCAUAAAAAAAUUAAAUUUUUGGUGGAAUCAUGUAAAAUGGCGCUACUUAUAUAAAUAUUAGGAAAAUACUGAAAUUUCUAAAAAUAUGGGGAUUUAAAAAAAAUUAACCAUUUUCUGGUGGAGCAAAUUAAGAUGGCGUCACCACCAGAUUCCCUACCUGCCAUGUCAGUUUUCUUUUUUUUUUUACUUUUUUUAUUUAUUUGACUUUUUUAUGUUUAUUUAUUUAUUUUAUUUAUUAUUAUUAACUUUAAAAAAUUUAGAAUAUAUUAUUAAUAUAUAUAUUUUUCUAAAUUUUUAAAUAUAUAUUUUGAAAUUAAUUUUUAAAAUUUUAAAUAUUAUUUUUAAAUAUUAAAUAUAUUUUUUAAUAAUAGAAAAUAUUUAAAUAUUUUAAACUUUCAAAUUUGUUAUUAGUUUUAAAAUAUUUUAUAUAUUAUUUAAUUUAUUUCAUAAUAUUUUAAAUUAUGAUUUUUAUAUAUAUUAAUAAUAUAUUCUAAAUUUUUUAAAGUUAAUAAGAAAUAAAUAAAUAAACAUAAAAAACAAAACAUAAAAAAAAAGGAAACUGACAUGCUAGGUAGAGAAUCUGGUGGCGCCAUAUUAAUUGGCUCCACCAGAAGAUGGUUAAUUUUUUUUAAGUCUCCCAUAUUUUUAAAAAUUUUAGUACUUUCCUAGUAUUUAUACAGGUGGCGCCAUUCUAUAUAGCUCUAUCAAAAAAUUAAUUUCUUUAUGCUCCUUGCUGACGUGGCAUGUUGGUGGCGCCAAAUCAUUUGACUCCACCAACUUUUACUGUAGAUUUCAGGUCAUUCUUGUACUUAAUUAAAAAUGUGGGUCAUUUUGACAAUUAAUUAAAUUAUUUGGGUUAUUUUUAUAAAAAAAAUCCCAAAAUCUCAUUCUAUUACAAAAAUUCAAUAAAAUUUUUAAAUUUUAAACUAAAUAGUUUGAGUUAUUUGAGUUAAUUAAGUUAUUCGAAUUAACUCAAAUAAAAAAUUUAAGUUUUUCGGUUUAACUCGAAUAUAAAUUAUACAAUUCGAGUUAUCUGAAAAUUUGAAUUAGAAAAGGCAAAACUACAUCAUUUGGAUAAAUGUUUAUCUAUUAAGUUAAAAAGUAAAAUAAUUAUAUUAUUUAUGUAGUUAAAUAAUCUUGUAUUUCAUCUACUAGUUAAAUAAUCAGUCAAUGUAAACACAAUAUUGAGUAUAACUAGUAGGAUUCGUUAACUUGACUCGAUUCGAUACGAUUCGAUUUGAAAAAUAAAUUAAAUUGAGUUUGGUUGCUAAAAUAGGAUUCGUCAACUUCACUAACUCGAAAUUUUUUUGUUCAAAUCGACUCGACUUGAUCGAAUAUUCAUCCCUAUCUGUGAUUACAAAAACAGGUUCUGAUAAUAAAUAAAAAAUAGAAAUAGUUGAGGCCUGAUUUUGGCUUAAUCAUUAAUUAUUUUUGUCAUAAAUAUUUGAAUGUAAAAAUUGUUUAUAUUUGAAAUUUUGUUUUUUUUAAUUUAAGAAAUUUAGUCUAUUUAUUUUUAAAAUUUAAAAAUUUAAUUCAAUUAUUAAUACCAUUAAAUUUUUAGAUAAAGUAUAGAAAUGGUCACUAAAGUAUUGUCCGCAUUUUAUUUUGACUAUUGAAUUUUUAAUUGUUUUUAUUUUGGUCAUUAAACUAAUCAAAAUCAAAUUUUUUUCUCAUUGAAUGUUAAUAACCAUUUGAAAUUUGACAAAAAUACUGACAUGGACUUUUUUAUUGGUCUAAUAAUAAAUUUAUUCCUCUAAUGUUUAUACAUUUUAUCAAUUUGAUCUUAAAUAUAAAAAAUUCAACAAAUUUAACUCUCAAUGUUUACAAAAUUUGUCAUUCUAAUUCAAAUUUUAAAAUUUCCAAUAAAUCUAACCAUUAACAUGUACAAAAGACAAAUUAUAUAUAUUUUUUGUAAAAUUUUAUUUGUAUAUCAGAAACGGUGGUUUGGAGAGAAAUGGAAGAAAAGGCGAGAAGAAAGAAAACCAUAAGUUUUUUUUAUUAACUUAUAUCACAAGUCAAUAAAAUAUUAAGCCGUUGAAGAAAAUAUUAACGCAUAAUCAUAAAUUUAAUCCUUAAUGUUUAUGUUUUUUGUCAAUUUAAUUAUUUUUUAGUUAAAUUUGACUCUCAAUCUCUUAAAAAAGACAAAUUUGACUAUCAACAUUUUAAAAAGAGUUAAAUUAUUUUUUAUCAAAAAUAUUGACUAAAAUGUUAAACUUUUAAACAGGUAGCUCGAAUGAAUAUCCACAUGUACUUCAUGCCUUUUUUUUAAAAAAAAUUUAUAAAAAUUUAUAAAUUUUUUAAAUUUAAAAUUAUUUGUUAACAUAGAAUAUAAGACAAAUAAUGUCAUAUUAGUAUAAAAGUGCAUGUGAACUGCCAUGCGUGUUUAUAUAACAACAUCAUCAAAAUUUUAAUAUUUUAGUUAGCAUUUCCUUUAAAAAACGAUUUAACUCUUUUUUAAAAGGUUGAGGGUCAUAUUUAACUCAAAAAAAAGAAGAAGAAUAAGGGCUAAAUUAAUAAAAAAUUUUAACGUCGAGGAUUAAAUUUAACAUUAUAUCAAAUAUAAAUGUAGUUAAAAAAUUAUUAUUAAAAAUGAUUAAAUUGUUUUUUUCUUUUUCAAAGUAAUUAAUAUAGUCAUGAAUGUGUUAUUUUUUAAAUUUUAUAUGAGAUAAAUCUAAAAAAAUAACAGGUGGAAGUUGAAAAUAAAGAAUCAUAAAUAUCAAAACAUUUAUUUACCAUUUCUAAUUAAAGCCAUAAUUGAGUGACGACAAAAGUUGAUCUAAUAUUCACGUUAUAGUUAUAGUUGUUGUUUUUUUUUUUUUAAAUUAGGUGAGACUCUUAAAGGAGGAAUUCGGGUACGACGAUGCAUUCAACUACAACAAAGAAACUGAUUUUGAUGCGGCUUUGAGCAAGUAAGUAAUUCUAAUUUACGAAUGUAAAAAUUAAAUGUUGAUAAUAACAAUAGAACAAUCGUAAAUAAUAAAAAUAAAAAUAUAUAUUUUUAGGUAAAAAAAUUUUGGGAAAAAUCAAAUUUGAAUGAUACAAAAGGAAUUUCGACUACAUCUAUUUAUAAUUUGAAAAAUCUUACCCUAAUCAAUGUCAAAUAGAAAUAAUAUAAUAAGGUUGAAACAUAUUAUUCUAAUCAAUAUCAAAUAGAAUAAGUGUACUUUUAUACGGAUAACACUUAUGUAUUUUGUACCGUAUUUCAACACUCGGCCUUCACCCUCAUAGAUCUUCUAUUUUACUAAUGUAUUUUAUUUCUUUAACAGGAAUUUAAGUUACACAACUCUAACAACAUAUAUUGUAUACUAUUAGUAUUAAGCAUGAAUUGAAGAAUGAUUUGCAGGUACUUCCCUAAUGGUAUUGAUAUAUACCUGGAGAAUGUGGGUGGUAAAAUGCUUGAGGCAGUCCUGAAUCACGUCAACCCUCACGCUAGGAUUCCAGUUUGUGGAAUGAUUUCUCAGUAUAACCAGGUCUCUACUAUAUAUGUUUCUUUAUAGCUGAUUGUUCUAGUGUAUGACCCAAGCUUACUUGGAUUCCAAAUUCCAUGCAUUCCAAAUUCCAUGUAUGAUGCAGAUUUGGACAGAGAGGGAGGGGGUCAGAAAUCUGCUAAAUAUCGUGGGGAAGGAGGCAAGAAUGGAGGGCUUUUUGGUGGGCUCCUAUUUGGACAGAUUUGCAGAUUUUACUGUGGAGAUGGAGGGUUAUCUAAAGCAAGGCAAAAUAAGUUCCAAGAUCAAAAUCUAUGAAGGAAUCCAAAGCUUUGUGGAGAGUUUAGGGUCCCUUUUCUCAAGCUCUAACUUUGGGAAAGUCGUGAUUGAAGUUAAUAAGCCUCGUUAAUCAGGUCAUCAUCCAUUGUUAAUGUAAUAGCCAAUUUUGACCUAAAAGAACCCAAACCAAAUAAACAAAAAAAUAGUCCAAUACAUGGCCCAAAAUUAAAACAAAACCUAAUUAAAACCCAAUACCCAGAUUUUAGCCCAAAAUAAACCCAAUAACCUAAAACCUUAAAGCCCAAGUCAGCCCACUAUCUUAAACUUUUUUUCAGCAGCCACCCUAACCCUAGCCACCAAAGUUCAGCUGCCACUCCCCCCUCUGCCCUUGGCCAUCACGCACGCCACCACCACCGCUUGGGGCACCAACCAUCGGCCUUCCACACGUCUGACACCUGCAAGACGAAACUAGCACGCGAAACACAAAAAACGAAGAAGAAAAAAUAGCAGACAAGAAGAAAAAAACAAAAAACGAAUCUAUGUAAUUCGGUUAUAAAAGUCGAAACAUCCAUUUGUAGCUUUUUUUUUGGACACGAACAUUUAGCAAUAAAAAUCAAGAGCAAAACAGAUAAAAAAGGUGAUUUCCGAUUUAUUCUUUUUGUUUUCAUUUCAUUGCUAAUCUCUUUUAGUUUCUUUUAUCUUUACUUGCAAAUCUAUUAAAUAAAGUGGGCACGAAAAUAAAUAAAAGGAGGGAGUAGAGGGCCUCACCGGAAUCGCUCGGGGCUUCGUCGCCGGAGAUCCCUCCUCCGUCGUCGGGGUCGCGUCGUUUAGAGAGGGAGAGACCCUUUCAUUUCCGCAUUGUUUGGCUGAAAACUCGGCCUUCAAAGGGUCCCAAAAACGGGGUUGAAAUACCUAUUGUUGCGCGUCACCGGCCACCAAAAACGGUGGUGGUACGGUGGGCGGUGAGGGAGCCCGACCGUUGGAAAGACAAAAGGAGGAGAGGGUGUUUUGUUUUUUUCUUGGAAAACAAAAGAGAACGGCAGAUCAAAAA
rnacentral:lncRNA from 1 species